rnacentral:lncRNA from 1 species
UUGAUAGAAAACGUGAGGUUGAAAAAUAAGAAAAAACUUUUUAUUUACAUGUAAUAUUAUUUUAAUAAAGAAUGUAUGGUUCAAAAGAAAAAGAGAGAAAAGUUUAUUUUUGAAAAAAAAUCAAACGAAGCCAUCAUAUGAAAUUAUACUUCUGAAAGUAUCUUCAUUGGAUGGAGAAAUUGUUCCAACUCCAAUGUCAAGGAAGAAUGGAGAUGCCAAUCAUGCUUCUCGAGUUAAAUUUCUGAAUAGCCAUUAAACCUUGACGGCUUAUUCAUCAAACUUUUUAAUGCAUUCCAUUAGCCAUUGAACUUUACUCCAUUAUUCAUCGGAUGGAUUAUGGUUACCAUUUCAAUUGAUGUUGAGGAAGAAAAUAUGAUGUGACCAAUUAAGUCCUUCCAAAUGUCAAGCCAUCUGCCAACUCAGCAUCACAUCAUUUAUUCAAAACACAAUAGUCUCGCCCAAACCCUGAACCACCCCACUAGGUGCCACUGCCACUACACUACUCCGAUCGGAAGCCUCAUCGUUGAUACCGCUAGACCAAUUACUCUUCUAGCCAUAAACCAAACCACCGCCACCAGCGUCAUACACCAUCGUCAUCCUCUACCAAAAUCGCCAACGGACCCAAACCAACAUCGAUCGAUGCCCAACUGCACUACACCUCCAAUGAGCUUAGCUUACGAUCGACUGUCCAAGACUUAGAAAAUUCAAAACCACAAACUCAGAAUAUUGAAACCACAAUCCACUACUCUACUGCUUCAAUCGACCAUAAUCUGAAUUCUGAACCUAAAAAAAUCAUCCACUUGCUUCAUUUAUCUCUUCGAUCACAAACACAUUACAAUCCACCAUUAUUUUUGCCUAUUAUAUACGGAAUCCACCUUGUGAUCGUCGCAUGUCUCUGCCAGCCACAACCUUCCUAUUUUCCAAUUCAACUCUUUUUCAAUUUCAAAGAACAGAGCAAUACUUUUUCCUAUACUCGAUUGAGGAGCUCUUUGGUUUACAAAUGAAAUUUUCAACUACUUUUCUAUAGGUUCUCUAAGCAAUAGUGGUUGAAUUUCAUGUUUUUAGGAAGUGGUCAAUGUGGGUUCUGUUGUUCUUGGGGAGAGAGAUAGUCGACGAGAAGGGCGAUGGAUUGGGCAUUAUGUGUUCCGAGAAUGUCAUUGUUUUUUUUUUUUAUCUGUAUACCAACAUUCUGGUUUCAGAGCACUGAUCUUAAAGGAUCCAUGAGAUUUAAAAAGCCAAAGCACAAAAACCCACAAAUAGCCUAAGAUGGAAUUAGAAGCUUUUUUCACAUCAAUUCCACCUCCAGUAUUUGAUGGAACGAAUUAUCAAAGGCUGUUGAAAUGGAAGCCUAUCUCGAUGCUAAUGAUUUGUGGAAGCUGUGGAGAAAGAAUAUGAAGUUCCUGACUUACCAUGCAAUCUAACUCUUGCUCAAAUGAAAAAUCAUAAAGAAAAGAAGCUAAGAAAAUCAAAAGCAAGAGCAACCUUGUUUACAGCCGUCUCUUCCAUUAUUUUCAACAGAAUAAUGACAAUGAAAACGCUAAAGAGAUUUGGGAUUUCUUAAAGCAAGAGUAUGAAGGAAGUGAAAAGAUCAAAGGAAUGCAAGUGCUAAAUUUGGUUCACAAAUUUGAGAUGCAAACAAUCAAAGAAUAUGCUGACAAGCUUCUCAGUAUUGCCAAUAAAGUAAGACUUCUUGGUAUCGAGUUUUCUGAUCUAGAAUUGUUCAAAAAAUUCUUGUCACAAUUUUAGAGAAAUUUGAAGCUACAAUUACUUCUCUGGAAAACUCAAGAGAUCUGUCAAGAAUUAUCCUUGCAGAAUUGUUGAAUGCACUGCAGGCUCGGGAACAAAGAAGGUUUAUGAGGCAGGAAGGUUCUGUGAAAGGUGCUUUGCAGGCUAAAUCUCAUAAUAACUAUGGUGGCAAGAACAAGAAAUAGAAGUAGAACAACAAGAAGUGGGGAAGCUCAAACAACUAAAACAACAACAGUGGCAAAACCUCUUCAGACUUUCCGUCUUACCCUUUACUGGAAAAAAAAACCAAUCAUCCACAUAAGAAGUGUUGGUAGAGGCUAGAUGCAAAUGCAACAAGUGUGAUCAAUUAGGGCAUAUGGAUAGGAUUUGUAAGUCUUAAUAGCAGCAAGAUGAAGCAAAAACUGCAGCAGAACAACCUCAAUAAGAGCAACUAUUUGUAGUAUCCUGCUUUGCCACUUCAAGCCCCACAGAAAGUUGGCUAAUAGAUAGAGGCUGUACAAAUUACAUGACUCAUGACCAAGAACCAUUCAGAAAACUUGACACAACCUUCAUCUUCAAAGUCAGAAUUGGAAAUAGAACACAUAUAUCUGUAAAAGGCAAAGGAACUGUUGCAAUUGAAGGUUGCACAGGCUUGAAACUAAUCUCUGAUGUUUUAUACGUUCCUGAAAUUAAUCAAAAUCUGUUAAGUGCUGAUUAUUUAUUUGAAAAGGGCUACAAAGUUUUAUUUGAAGGCAAAAAUUGCACGAUCAAGGAUGCAGAAGGCAAGGAAAUUUUCAGAAUUAAAAUGAAAGGCAAAAGUUUUUCCUUGAAUUUAAUAGAAGAAGAGCAAGCUGCAGGGCACAAAGAAGAAAGCAAUACAAUGCUUUGGCAUAAGAGAUUGGGACAUUUUCAUCAUGAUGCUUUACUUUACAUGAAAAAGAAUGAUCUUGUAGUAGGUCUACCUAAAGUGGAAGAAGAAUUGCCUACGUAUGGUGCAUGUCAAUAUGGCAAGCAAGCAAGGCUACCCUUUCCAAAGAACAAAGUUUGGAGAGCUAUACACAAGCUGCAAUUAGUGCAUACAAAUGUAGAAGGACCUCCAAAAACACCAUCUCUAAAUGGUAGUAACUACUAUAUUGCUUUCAUUGAUAAUUACACAAGAAUGUGUUGGAUUUAUUUCAUAAAACAUAAAACUGAGGUUGCUAACAUCUUUAAUAAGUUUGAAACUUGGGCAAAAGCUCAAAGUCGAACAAAAUUACAGAUAAUAAGGUCUGACAAUGGAACAGAAUGUACAUGUCAAAAAUUCAGCAAGUUUUGUGAAGAUACAAGCAUUGAACACCAGUAAAAAGGGCCUUAUACCCUACAGCAGAAUGGGGUUGUGGAGAGAAAAAUAGAACAAUAAUGGAGAUGACAAUAUGCUUACUCAUGACAAGGAUCUGCCAAAGAAAUUCUGGGCAGAGGCAGCAAACACAUCAAUUUUCUUGUUAAACAGAUUAUCAUCAAAAGCUCUUCAGAGAAGAACUCCAUUUGAAGCUUGGUAUGGUUUUAAACCAAAAUUGGUAAAUUUGAAAACUUUUGGUUGCCUUUGCUUCUCUUAUAUUCCCCAAGUUAAGAGAGACAAGUUGGAUAAGAAAGCAGAACCAGGAGUCUUUGUAUGCUACAGCUCAACAUCAAAAGCUUACAAGAUCUACUUUCCAUAAAUCAACAAAGCAAUUGUUAAUAGAGAUGUGCAAUUCCUUGAGUUAGACAACUAGAGCUUGAAAAAUGACAAGAAACUUGAGUUUCAGGAGGAGAAUGAUGAUGUAGAUGAUCAACCUAUUAGAGGAACCAAAUUACUCUCUGAUAUUUAUCAGAGAUGUAAUGUAGCCAUAAUGGAACCUGCAGGAUAUGAAGCUGUAACUGAUCAGAAACGGAUUUAUGCAAUGAAGGUGGAGCUUAAGAUGAUUGAAAAAAAUCAGACAUGGCAAUUGGUGGACAGACCUAGACAUAAGAAAGCUAUAGGAGUCAAGUAGGUUUACAGGACCAAACUCAACCCUGAUGGUUCUGUGAAUAAGUAUAAGGCAAGGCUUGUUGUCAAGGGAUAUGCCCAGAUGUUUCCGGUAGAUUUCUCUGAAACUUUUUCCCCCGUUACCAGGCUGGAUACAAUAAGGAUGUUGUUGGCUCUUGCUGCACAAAAGCCCUAGGUGAUACACCAAAUGGAUGUUAAGUCAGCAUUUCUAAACGGAUACUUGGAGGAAGAAAUUUUCGUAGAGCAACCGUAAUGAUUUUCUGUUUAAGGACAAGAGGAGAAGGUAUAUCAACUGAAAAAGGCCUUGUAUGGUUUAAAACAGGCACCAAGGUCCUGGUAUAGCAGAAUUGAUGCACACUUGAUAAACCUAGGAAUUGAAAAGAGUCUAAGUAAAUCUACUUUAUAUAUCAAGAUGUUUGAUGUUGAAAUACUUGUGGUAUCCUUGUAUGUUGAUGAUUUACUUGUCAUAGGAAACAAUGAGGAACUCAUUGACAGGUUUAAAGAAAGAAUGAAAGAUGCUUUUGAAAUGACUGAUCUUGGAAGAAUGACAUUCUUCCUUGGUAUGCAGGUGCAACAGAAUCAAAAUGAAAUCUCUGUGAGUCAGAUAAAAUAUGCAAAGGAAGUUCUAAAAAAAUUCAAAAAGGAGGAAUGCAAGACAAUUGCAACUCCAAUGAUUCAAAAAGAGAAGUUUAGCAAAGAAAAUGGAGCUGAAAAAGUUGAUGAAGGGCUGUACAGAAGCCUAAUAGGCUGCCUAAUGUACUUAAUUGCUACUAGGCCAGACAUUAUGCAUGCAGUAAGUCUACUGUCAAGAUAUAUGCAUUGUGCAAGUAAAAUAAACUUUCAAGUAGCAAAAAAAAAAAAAAUCCUCAAAUAUGUUAAGGGCACAGUUGACUAUGGAAUAAGAUUCCAACAAGUUAAAAAUUUCAGUUUUCAUGGUUAUCCUGAUAGUGAUUGGGCUGGAUGUGAUGAUGCUAUGAGAAGACUUGGUGUAUGCAGCUUAAGAGUCAAGGAGGAGUGUUGAUCAAUAUGACACAUGAAGCUGCUGACAUGGAUAGAUAUUGUUACAUAUGAUGUGCUUUGAAGAAGUCAAGUGACAGUUAGACUAUGGCCUUUUCUUUAUGCUAUUUUAUUGGAAAUAAAUUUUUAUGCUUUUAUGUAGCAUAUUAUUCUGCAAAUUAGUUAUUCAGUUGCUGUAUAAAUAAUUGAACUUGAUGCUCAAUAAAUUGCAUACUUUUAUAAUCUCAUAUAAAUCUUGUUCUGAUUGUUAUUUGCAUACUAACAAUUUUUGAGGACUUGGGAAGAGGUGGGGGAAAUUGGAGCUGGUGGUGGUUGGAGCAGCUUUUUGGUGGGUUUGGUGAGGAGGACGACGGGGGAUGGUGGAGUUGAAGCUGAGGCAUGUUUGGUUGAUGUGGAGGAUCCACUUGAGCAUCUAAUGAUCCACUCAGAUUUACCGUCUACCACGUACAUGGAGCCAAAGACGAAAUUCAUCCAAUGAAUGAUGGGAAGCAAUGGACCUAAGUUCGGUGGCCACUAAGCGGAUUCUUGAAGUUGGGUGAGUAAGUCGUGACAAAGUGCAAAAUUCGGUGGCUAAUGAAACAUUUAACUCCAGGCUACUCCUUCAGUUGUUUUAUCACCAUAAAUUUUACCAUCCUACGCUUUAUAUCUUCAAAAAACAUGGGUGCAAAUUCGAGUACCUCCUGAUGCCUCACUCUUUGAAUAAAUCUUCAAUGGGCAAAGAAGUUGAAAAAAUGCUUCAAAAUAGAGAAAAACCUCGAUAACUGAAGGAUGGCCUCUCCACUAGUUUAAGCAAUUCGUCAAUCAGCAGCACUCCUGCUAAAGGAUAGGUCAAGAAAUCGCCAGAUACAAGAGUGCUAAUAAAUAAAAGGAAUGGUAUAUCGCUCCGGAGUCACGUAUCAUAUCAUUAAUCCCUUUUUGAGUAUAAUUUUUCCAUUUUUUUUGGCAAUUAUGUAUAAAACCUCAAGAAUGGUAAGGGUGGAAUUGAGGAAGAAGAUAAAUUUUGAGAAGAGGGUAGGGUAGGGUGGGGUGGUAUGGGGUGGUUGGGGGUGGAGUUGUGGAAGAAGAUAAGUUUUAAAGGUUUGAAAUUAUUGAUGGCAAAAUUAAAAAGUUCGAAUAUAAGAGAUUUUUCGCCAAUCUAAAAGAUAGGAAAUAUUUCACAAUAGGGGCAAAGGUCAAUGAGAUUUUGUGCCAGUUACCCCUUAAAUUUUGCAAAAAUUUUAAUGAUUGUUGGAAGAAUAUUGACGAGAGCGCACAAUUCUAAAAUGAUAUUCUAUGAUUAAUUUCAAAAAUAUGAUGUUGUAUUCAACACGAAUCUAAAUAAUUUUUUUAAUAUCAAUCCACUCACAAAAAUAGAAUAUAAAAUUCAAUAAAAUGAGAUUUAUCUUAAGAUUGUUGAAGAAAUUGGUGCACGAAUUAUAUAUCGUUUAUCAAAAAUUUGUAUUGACAAAUGCAAUAAAAUUGCAACUUACUAGUGUAAUUUACCGAAUAGAGUUUCAAUUUAUCGAAAUCAAGAUACGUGCAUGAAAAUUAAGCAAAGCAAUGAUUUACUGGAAUUCAAGAAAAAGAUAAAUAAGGCAAUAAAAGAAAGUGAGAUAUGCGAAUGCAAAUCUCUUUAAGAUAAUGUGACUGCAAAUCUCUUUAAGAUAGAUUUCGCCUCCUAGAUUGGUACUAACAAGACCAAAUGGAUGUCUGUCUCUCAAGAUAUAACACUUCUUUCAAAAUUAAUAUGGUACAAUGCUAAUCUUGUUGGACGAACCAAAGUGUUAAGUAUUUUUCACAAACGGAAUAGAUACGAACUAAAAUUGCUUGAACCAAAUUUUAUUUCUAAUAAUUAUAUAAACAAAUUUAAUUUCAGCCAAAAAAAAAAAGGAAGAAUAUUUCAAACAGAUGAGGGAGUUUAGAAAUCAAUUAUUAUUGAAUUGAUUUGGGGUAGGAAAUAUGAAAUUCUGAUGUCCCUAUUUUUAUAUUUUCAAGUAUCUUUUAGAAAUGGUUGAAUUUUUUAACAUAAAUUAAUAUAGAUCAUUAGCUCACACAUUUUCCAUAUUAAAUUGUUUAGAUUGCACUCUAUCAAAAGCUCAUGACUUUUCAUAAUGUAACUUUUUGAAUAGUCACAUAUAAUCUGAAACAACAAGAUUCGUGAUUAGUUAUCACACCAAUUAAAGACUUUUUUAAUUCACACAUAUAGAAAUUUUAGGUAAGUUCCAAUACAAUCUAUUCGUGUAAGUUCCAAUACAAUCUAUUCAUGUUGAUGCUUUUUUAAUUCACACAUACAGAAUUUUAGGCAAGUUCCAAUGCGAUCUAUUCGUGUAGAUGCUGUUGAAUGUGAUCUUACUCCAAAUGGUUCGAUAUGCAUUACUAGAAGAGGUUAUUCUAUCCUAGACUAGCCCACCAUCUUCCCUAUUUUGUUACUUUUUAUUGAGUCGAUGUGGGAAAAAACUGAGAUGAGAGUUUGUUAAUGGCCAUAGGCCAGAUGCCACGUGUAUCGAUAUGAUGAAGGAGGACAAACAGCUAACAUUCAUUAAACUUUUCUGACUUUAUAUUCAAUAAACAGUUAAUUAACCAACCAACUACUCCUAGAAAUGUUUACCUUAAAACACCCCAUCUUACACGGCCUCUCUCACAUUGCUAUUCGUCUUUUGACCUCUCAUUUCAUAUUGAUUUUCAAUCGUAUCCAACACUGCAUUCACGUAAGAAAACUCAAUUUUCUAGUCUAUUCUUUUUUGAAUCGACAGAUUUCUUGUUUGAUGUUGCAUUACGAUGAAAUCUUUCUUAGGCUUUGAUUCGGCUUUUGGUCAUUUUGAUUCAUAUUAUUGUAAGGAUGGUACAAAAUUAAUAAGUGAUUGUUGUUGAUUAGAUUUUAAUUCUAAUGUACACAUAACAUAUUAAAAUUAUGAAUCUUUCUAUUAUUUCAUCCAAGGUUUUUUGCCCCACCCUUUUUUUCCUGUUAAAGUUUUUGUUAGGCCAACAUUUAUGAUUUACCAUUGUUCUUCCACAGAUGGCAUUUGGGAAUUUGAUUUUAUUGUCGUAUUCUUGUUAUGGUGCGCUUUUCAUUCGACUUGAUAAUAAUUAUAAUUCAUGAAAAUAUGCAGAUUGGUGAUAGGAUACAAGUAGUGGAAUCGGAAUGGCAUUUUCGUAUCCAUUAGCUAAUUUUGAUGAUUUGGUUAGCCAGUUCAAGUCUUGCUUAUCGACAAGUUUUGGAGGUGAUGAUGUAUGGAUUUCUUGAUCCGUUGGGUCGAGCUGUCCAGAUUCUAAACCUGCAAUAUUGAAGUCUGAGAAGACAAUCCUUCAAGGCUCCCUCGGCUUUAAAGGGCGGGAAAUGGAAACCACGUCUGAUGAAAAUGUUCAUAAAGAGUUUGGUAAAAAGAGAAAUCUGGCUGCCUUAAAAGUGCAGAAAACAUAUAAGAGUUUUAGAACCCGAAGGCAAUUAGCAGAUUGUGCAGUCUUAGUCGAGCAGAGAUGGUAAGUUUUAACUGCCUGAAUAUAUAUUUUUUUCUCUGCUUUUCCGUUUAACAUUAUAGAUUUUCAAUAUUUUUCUGUGAUAUUCAGGUGGAAGCUCUUAGAUUUCGCAGAGCUCAAACGUAGUUCUAUGUCUUUCUUUGCUAUUGAAAAACCUGAAACUGCUAUUUCACGUUGGUCAAGAGCAAGAACCAGAGCUGCUAAGGUAGAAUUGUUGCAAUCACUGCAUAUUUAUUAGAGCGUUAUCCCAUAGAUUUAAGCCUUUUGUCUUUCAAUAACAGGUGGGGAAAGGUUUGUCCAAGGAUGAUAAGGCACGUAAACUCGCUUUGCAGCAUUGGCUCGAAGCUGUAAGUUGCACCUCUAGAGAAAGUUCAAACGAUGAUAUAUGGUAUUAGCCCUUGGUGACAUUUUUUCUUAUUUUCUUGUAGAUUGAUCCUCGACACCGCUAUGGUCACAACCUGCAAUAUUAUUAUGUCAACUGGCUCCAAUGUGACAGUAAACAGCCUUUCUUCUACUGGUAAUAUUAAUUUGAACCAGAAAACUACUGCCGAAUUUUAGCUUCUCUUCAUUAUUAAAGAUCACUUAAGAGCAUCCGGUUUCCUGAAUUGCAGGCUGGACAUUGGAGAAGGUAAAGAAGUAAAUCUUGAGAGGUGCCCUCGAUCAAAGCUUCACCAUCAAUGCAUCAAGUAUCUUGGUCCGGUAAGCUUCAUUUUCCCACAUUUGGGAUUGUGACCUUGGAUUCAUGUCACUGGGCUGUAGGAAUUUGAAAAUCUUAUAUACGUGCAUCAGCAUACAUAAAAAAAGCAGUCUUUUAAUUUUCUAAAGGUCCUUCAAAUUUUCUCUUCAUAACGAAGAAAAUGUGUCCAAAUUACUUAUAUUUGUUUCUGCAGACAGAGAGGAAGAUCUAUGAAGUCGUCAUAGAGGAUGGCAAGUUCAUCUAUGCGCAGAGUGGGAAGCUUCUCGACACAAGGGAAGGACCAGGAGACGUUAAGUGGAUCUUUGUACUGAGUGUGUCCAAAACUUUAUACGUUGGGCAGAAGAAAAAAGGCACUUUUCAACAUUCAAGUUUCUUGGCUGGUGGUGCCACUUUGUCUGCUGGAAGAUUAGAAGUCGAAGAAGGUGUUAUUAAGGUACACAUACGAUCAAUUUCUUCUUUGUUUUCAGCUAAUAUUUUUGCAUUGAUCAUUUCAGACUUCUAAUAGAUGUACCUAAAAUUUUGGAAAAUAGGCGGUUUGGCCUCACAGUGGGCACUAUCUCCCAACAGAAGAAAAUUUUGAGGAAUUCAUUUCGUUUCUUAUGGAGCACAACGUCAAUCUGAGUGUCGUCCAGGUAAGAUGAUGCAUCUUUCUAAGGAAUUAUCUCAGGUUAAGUUAUGGGUAAAAAAAAAAAAAUACAUUUUACAUAUAUUGAAUUACUAUCUGGUGUACAGAAAGCAUCAAAUAAUAAAGAGGAAGUUAGUGUCAUUGGCCCUCGUAGUAAUAGCAUAUCAGCACCAGAUAUCAGUCGAGCCACCAGUGAAAACAGCAAUGCAAAAGAGGUAGAUGGGGAGAUAACUGAUUCCAGCAAAAAAUAUUCCAAGGAUGCUGAAAAUGUAAAUCCAUGCAUAUCAAGAUGGUCCCGGAAAUUACACUCAAAAAUUGCCGUUCUUCAAAUUCCCAGAAGGGAGGACGGGGCGUAUGAGUUGUUCAAGACACCACACCAAGGGCCUAACUUUGACACCAGGGAUAGUGAAUCAGAUGGAUACGAAACACCAGAGGAAUGUUUGUCAGAUUCAGAAUUUUCUGUCUCCAAACAAAACUUAUUUGAUGACGACGGAAAGGAGGGAGAGUAUGAAGAAACCAUACCAAAAGAAAAGAUUAUCAAAAGAAUAAGCUCGCAUAAAGGAAUGCGAUCAUAUCAGUUGGGGAAUCAACUUUCGUGCAGAUGGACAACAGGAGCUGGUCCACGAAUAGGAUGUGUGAGAGAUUAUCCUUCGGAACUCCAAUUCCUUGUUCUAGAGGAGGUACAUUUGUCUCCAAGAAAAUCACAGUCAUCACCUCCUAAAAACGCUAGAUCACUUCUAAGGAUUCCUCCUCCUAGUCCUACCAGUUUAUGCACAUAAAUCAACAAUUCAAUGCUUCCUGAAUUUUUAUUUUUAUUUUUAUUUAUUUUUAUUUUUUCCAUGGUGACAGACACCGGUAUAUCAGUAUUAGAUGAAUAACGUUUUACAGUAAUGUGAACAGUCUGACACAAGCUCUGAUUUGGAUUGUUCACAACAGAAACUUCGCAGUUCUUCUUUAGGUUGGGGUUGGUGUGCGUCCGGCACUGCCAGUCAACAACUUCUGCGUGAACUUGCUAGAUGAAACUUGAACGGGAAUACUACGUACUCCAUUCCAAAUAAAACGUUGGCAAGAACCAAAUAUUUGAAUUAAGAUCCCCGUCAGACAAAUCCCUUAUAUUUAGAAUAAGUGAAUCCAAAAGUUAAACUAGACACGGAAGUAAGAAAAAGGAGGGGGGCAACAUCACCUAAUCCACACUUGUGUUCACAUCUUAAAAAAAUUGAUUUAAAUACAUGAUCCGCAUUAUUAUGCAAACAUGAUCUUUAACAUCAAUGAUGCUAACAGGUCAUUUUUCUCAUUUGGCAUAUUGAUAUGGCUGAUGCUUUCAAAUUUGAGCCAAAGUUUGCCACAGUAACCUCAAAUUUCCCUUUCCCCAGUUACCCACGCAAUAUAAAAAACAUAACAGAAAAGAUCAAACAGCGCCCAAAGAAAAUUUCAAUAAAAGGGUAAAAUCCCAAAACCUUGAAAAUUUGAAAUUUGAGACACAUAUAUAUUAAAUAAUUAGCCCAUUUUGCUAUUCAUUUUUUUUUUCAAUCUCAUUUUCAACUACACAUUUUUUAGUAAAGAGUAUUCACAUGGACUCGUAGCCUUUCCUAUUUUUUCACUUUUUAACCACGCAUUCUCCAAAAAAUCACUUUUCAAAAAAUAAUAUUCUCAAAUAUCUCUACCUAAAAGUAGCUUAGUAUGUCUUGUUAGAAUAAUUCCAAAUAUGGACUUCACAUUCGAUUGUAAAUUUUACGGGUUAGAUAUAUGGAUCAUAAUGAUAUUUGUAUUCGGGCAAAAUUUUUUAAGGGAAAAUUACAAAAUUCCAGGUAUUUAAAGACUGGAAUUCAAACAUCAAGGUUAAAGAUUCUUUGUGCAUAAAUCAGGUAUCAAAUAAAAUAUUAAAUAUUACAUAUUUACCCCAAUUAUUCCAAAUCCUAGACACUUUCUCAUUUUCCUUUCUCUUUCUACCAUCUCCUUCUCACCCAUAUUUCUCUAUAACAAGUUGUCGGCAGAGAAGUCGUCAUUGUAGUGGCAACGUCUGAAGAGUGGUGCCGAUUCCGAUGUGAGACCAGCGUCGCUGCCAGUUCUCUCACUUUUCGAUCUACGGUUAUCUCUCUUCGUUCGAUCUGCUACAGUUUAUCGUGUGGUGAGAUCAGCGCUGCUGCCAGUUCUCUCUCCAGUCCGAUGUGAGACCGGCAUCGCUGCCCGACGUUGAUGUGAUAGCGUUUGUGGUGUUUGACAUGGUGAUGUGGUGAUUUCUCUGUGCAGCUUCUCUGUGCUUGAUGGUGAUGUAGUGACAUUUGUGGAGUGACACGGUGGUAGUUUGGUUCAGGCGACGAUGGUGUGGUUGGUUUUUUUUUUUUUUUAAUGGUGGUGCCAGGUACGGUGGAUCUAGGUAAGACUGCGAUGGUGGUAUUCUGGUUGUAGUCGGAGUUUGGUGGUGGUUCUGGCUGUGUUGGUGGCUUGGUGUGUUGUGGUUGAUGGUGAUGGUUAUUGAUGCAAGUGGUGAAGGUGGCCGAUCCGUAGUAUGUGUGCGGUUUUGUUGGUGCGAUGUGGGUGGUGGUGUUUGCUAUGGUGUUGAUGUUAGUGUUGUUGGUGUUUGUGUUGGUGUUGGUGUGGUGUGCGGCGACGGUGGUGGUGUUGGUCGUGGUGAUGCAAGUUGGUGGUUUGGGUUGAUUGUCGAUGUAUUUUUUUUGUUAGCGGUGGUCUGUGACUUUAAAAUUUGAUAGUCUGUGAUUAAAAAAUAAUCUGUGACAUCAGGGAUUUGGUUUGUAACCUUAAAAUUUAUAAUCUAUGACAUAUAAAAUUUUCGAUUUGUGGUCUCGAAAUAAUCCGUGACCAAUUAAUUUGAUGAUAUGCAACCAGUAAAUAAAUCAGUGACCAUUAAUUGUUUAACUGUGAUUUUAAUAUAUUUAUUUAAUAAAUAAUUUUAAUUAAUUAAAUACAAACAUGAAUUUUGAAUUUUCAAACUUCUUACCUGAUUUUUGAAAUGGUGUUAAGAAUACAUGAUAUGAAUUUUCCCCAUUUUUUAAAGUGAUUAAUUGGGCCUUUUUUUAUACCUUACGAAUUGUAUUUAAUAUGAUGUGGAAAUUUUAAGUAUGUGGGUUGAAAAUAUAUAUAAACCAUAAUUAGCAUUUUAAGCGUAAUGAGAUGGCUCAAUAAUUUUCUAUAUAAAAGCUAGGUUUACUCCCCUCUCCAUAAUGUUUCAUUAGCUUGCCCCAUUAACAACUAAUAUUUUGUGAGGAGUAAGGAGAGAAAUAUCUAGCUGCUAUUAUUCAUGUUAAUAAUGACUUCCGUAUGUAUGAAUUCGAUUUAUCAAUUUAUUAUUUUUUGAUUCCUGAAUCUUAGAAUGAUUACAAUUAAAUUCAUCAAUUGGUAUCAGAGUCAUCAUGUUAAGAUCAGGGUCCGUCAUUAAAAUAAUAUGCUUUCUCUAAUUGAAUAAUUCUAAAGUUUUCGCUACCUGUCAAUUUAAGUAUUUGGAAUUGUUAUGUUUUCACAAAGUUUUGAAAUAAAAAAAAAGGGUGCAUUAAUUUUUGUUCUGUGCAUAUAUUUAUCAUAUACAUUCAUUAUAUAUGGACAUAUCUAAAGAAAUCCUAAAAAUCGAAUCUGCACACACCUAUUCACUCUCCUACCCACGGCUGAAUUCAACUUCAAUAGGUGGCUGAUUUUAAUUUGGAGGCUUCUAAGUUGAGACAAUUCAUGAUCUGGGUUUUGUGUGUUGUACAAUAUGCUUGGUUGCUAAUUGUUCUAUCUAUAUUUUUCUUGCUGUGAAAUUGUGAUUGAUGUUGAUGGAAGAGAAAAUAAAAAUAAAAAAUUGUGGGAGCAGGCCCAUCCACGGCAGUCGACCGUCGCGACUGCAACGAGCACCGCGACACUGCUAGGUCGAUGAGUAGUGCUGCUGUGAGCAAGCACCGACAGCAAUGGCACACCAAAAAUUGGAUGGUGCGGCGUCGCCGAGGCUGCACAUGAGAAAAAAAUUAUUAUUCUGGUCUUCUGCAAAAAGGGGGCCAAGGGGAGGGGGGCUUCAACCGCAAAUAAUUGAGUUUCGAGCCCUCAGUUGCAAUUAUCAUUUAAGGGCCUGUUUGUAAUUUUAAAUAAAGGACCUGUCAUGUAAUUAUCGAAAUUGAAGGACUUGUUUAUAAUUUUGAACUAGGGGAAAUUUUAAUAUGAUUUUGAAUUUGAUUUUGAUAAGGGCUUUUAAUUUAAAUUUUUAAAGUUUUGACCCUAAAAUUUUAAUUUUUGACCUAAUUAAAAUUUUAUUGAAACUUGAACGAUUUUGUGAUUGAAUUUUUCAUGAGCGUUGAACGAUUCUUAUGUUUCCACUGAAAGAGAAAUAUUUUGAAAUAAAAAUUAGUGGUAGUUGCCAAAGUGGCACACUCAUUAAUAUUUAUUCGAUUUUCUCUACAAUUAAAAAAUAUAUAUUUUUGCCCAACAAUUUUGAUUUAUUGCAUAUAAUAACUUGCCCAAAAGUGUUAUUAUAUGUGAUAUUUUUGAAAAAAUGGUAUAAGGCGGUUAACGAGUUUACUGUGGUCUAGAAAUCUCCUUCUACCCAAAGGUGUUGGAAUUUCGAAAGCCAAUGUAAUUUUGUUAACUAGUUAUAUGAUGUGUUUUAAAAGUAUCUUAUAUCAGAUUAUAUUGUCAGCCUAAAGGUGAAUUUAUGAUGAUGCAUCUAGGCUCUUAUCGUAAUAAAAUUCAUAUGAUUUUGAUUUAAAUUACGGACUAUAUAAUUAAUUGUCCAUGUUAAUUAGUUGAAUAUAGCAUUAUGUUUGGAUGAUAUUGAAUAUGAUGCUUUAUGUUUCCACUAUUUAUAAUGCAUUAUCUCUUUCGAGUCAAUUUUCUGCCAUUAAAACAUUUAUUGGAAAUAAUUAUGUGAGAUAGAAAUGAGAUGUAGAAAUAGCACUUGGUUUUUUGGGCUUGGACUUUGCAAUGAAGAAAAAGCUUGAUAAACGAAUAGGUAAGAGCACUGUUGAAUAUGUAGCAGAGUAUGAAAAGUGGGAAAGGGCCAACAAACUCUGUUUGAAUAUCAUUAAGUGAUCCAUAUCUAAUUCCAUCAUGGGUGCCAUCCCCGAUAAUGAAAAUGUUAAAUGUUUUAUGGAUGCCAUAGGAGAGAAAUUUAUUGAGUCUGAUAAAGUAGAAACUCAGAUCUAAUAGAUAAAUAGAUGAAUAUGAAAUAUGAUGGUACAAGUGGUGUUAGGGAGCACAUUAUGAAGAUGAUAAAUAGAUCAUUUAAGCUAAAAGCUCUUAACAUUCCCGUUGCGAAGCCUUUUCUAGUCUAUCAUGUUUUAAAUAGUCUUCCUAACUAGUUUAAUCAGCUUAAGGUCGUCUACAAUGCUGACCAAGAUAAAUGGGAUUUGAAUGAUCUUAUUGCAGUGUGUGCCCAAGAUGAGCAUAGGAUACGAAGUGAAACUGUUGAAAUUGUGCAAUUAGCUUUUCAGCCAUCACAGAACAAGGGGCCCUUCUCAUAACCAUAAGCCUAAGUUCCGUAAGGGUAAUAAAUUACACCGAAAUCAGUAGAAUAAAAAUUUUAGUGGUCCAAAAGGAAUUGUGAAGAAAAAUAAUCAAUGCAAGUUCAAUAAAAAUAAGGGUCAUUGGCAGAAAGACUAUUUUAAGUUUAAGACCUAGUUGGAAAAGAAGAAGAGCUCUGCAGGUUGUCCUUUGGCUUUGGUUUGUUUUGAACCUUUUUCAGUAGAUGUGAUUUUGAAUUCUUGGUGGUUAGACUCUGGAGCUAAUAUUUACUUUGCGAAUUCUUUGCAGGGAUUCACAAACAAAUGGAAGUCAAGUGAGAAUGAAGUGAGCUUGAGCAUUGGAAAUGGAGUUCAAGUGAAUGUUGAGUUUAUAAGAGUAGUGAAGUUGACUUUAAAGUCUAGUUUUUCUCUUGUUUUGGAAAAUACAGUUUUUGUACCACAAAUGAGACGGAAUUUAAUUUCUAUAUCGAAACUAGAUGCUUGUGGUUUUUCUUUUAAUUUUGGUAAUGGAAUGUUUGAGUUAUUUUAUGAUUCUCAUUUGAUUGAAAAUGGACUUUUAUUUGAUAGUUUAUACAAAUUGUCUUCUUCUUCUCUUGGUGAAGUCUCUUGUGUUACCAAUGUACAAAGAAAAUGGCUUUAGUUUGUGAAUCGUCAUCUAUGUUGUGGCAUAAACUGUUGGAUCACAUUUCAAGGGAUAAAAUGGAAAGAUUGGUAAGAGCUGAGAUACUUCUCCCUCUAGACUUCUCUGACUUUGACACUUGUGUUGAUUGUAUAAGAGGAAAAUUAACUAGGUCUACAAGGAAAGGUUCAACUAGGAGUAAUGAAAUUUUGGACUUGGUAUGUACUGAUAUUAGUGGACCUUUGCCUUCCACCAUAUAUGGGAACAAAUACUUCAUAGCCUUUAUUGAUGAUUUCUCAUGAUAUGGAUAUGUUUACCUGAUUAAUGAUAAAUCUCAUGCACUUGAGAAAUUCAAGAUUUUUAAAAUGGAAGUAGGAAAACAAUGUGGAAAAAGUAUCAAGGUUGUAAGAUCUAACGGUGGUAGUGAAUACAAUAGGAAAUAUGACGAGUCUGGUCAAAAUAUGGAUGAUUUUGCAAAGUUUUUACAAAAAUAUGGAAUAGUGUCUCAAUACACCCUGUCAGGGACACCUGAGUAGAAUAGUGUUUCUGAGAGAUAUAAUCGAACUUUAAAAGAUAUGAUCAGGAGCAUGAUGAGUAAAACAAAUUUGCCUGAAUAUUUAUAGGGUGAAGCUUUGAAAACGGCUAUGUAUAUUUUAAAUAGAGUUCUAAGUAAAGCGGAUGCAAAGAUACCAUUUGAAUUAUGGACAUGAUGUAAGUUAAGUUUAGCUCAUUUCAAAGUUUGGAGAUGUCCAGCUGAGGUUGGGAUUUAUAAUCUAUUUGAAAAGAAAUUAGACCAGAAAUCCACUCCUGAUUACUUUAUUGGCUACUCGGAUAGAUCAAAUGGAUAUAAAUUCUACUGUCUAAAUCGUGGCACUAGAAAUUUUGAGUCCAUUACUACAAAAUUUUUGGAGCAUGAUUUUGGAGAUAGUGGGAGUUCCACAUUGAGAAAAAAAAUUUUGAGCUAAAUCAAGCUGUUGUUCUAAUUCCUAUUAUACAGGAAAGAGUUGGUUCUUAACCAAUUGAAGUUGUUAAUGAAGAACCAAGAAACCAAGGGAAACUUUCAAUCCCUCCACCAACGAUUGAAUCGGUUCUUGCGCUACAAGUUAGGAGAUCACAAAGGGAAAAUAGAUCUACAUUGCCCAAUGACUAUAUUACAUAUUUAUUGGAGAGUGAUUUUAAUAUUAGGCAUAUUGUUGAUUCUGUAACUUAUAAUCAAGCAUUAACAAGUCCUGAUGCAGAUAAAUGGAUAAAUAUGUCCAGCUGAGGUUGGGAUUUAUAAUCUAUUUGAAAAGAAAUUAGACCAGAAAUCCACUCCUGAUUACUUUAUUGGCUACUCAGAUAGAUCAAAUGGAUAUAAAUUCUACUGUCUAAAUCGUGGCACUAGAAAUUUUGAGUCCAUUACUACAAAAUUUUUGGAGCAUGAUUUUGGAGAUAGUGGGAGUUCCACAUUGAGAAAAAAAAUUUUUAAGCUAAAUCAAGCUGUUGUUCUAAUUCCUAUUAUACAGGAAAGAGUUGGUUCUUAACCAAUUGAAGUUGUUAAUGAAGAACCAAGAAACCAAGGGAAACUUUCAAUCCCUCCACCAACGAUUGAAUCAGUUCUUGCGCUACAAGUUAGGAGAUCACAAAGGGAAAAUAGAUCUACAUUGCCCAAUGACUAUAUUACAUAUUUAUUGGAGAGUGAUUUUAAUAUUAGGCAUAUUGUUGAUUCUGUAACUUAUAAUCAAGCAUUAACAAGUUCUGAUGCAGAUAAAUGGGUAUGGAUGACGAAAUGAAUUCUACGGAAAAGAAUAAAGUUUGGGAUCCUGUUGAACUUCCUUCAGAAGCUAAAGCUAUAGAUAAUAAGAGGAUUUUCAAAAGUAAGUCAGAUUUUAAAGGUAAUGUUGAACGAAAGAAGGCAAAAUUGGUUGUAAAAGGUUUUAUUCAGCGAGAGGGCAUUGAUUAUAUUGAAAUCUUCUCACCUGUUUCAUCAAAAGAUUCCUUUUGAAUUAUUAUUGCAUUUGUGGCACACUAUAAUUUAGAACUUCAUCAAAUAGAUGUUAAGACAUCAUUUUUGGAUGAAGACCUUUUUGAAAAGGCUUACAUGAGACAACCUGAAGGUUUGUUGUGAAAGGAAAAGAAAACUUGGUGUGUAAGUUAAACAAAUUCUUAUAUGACCUUAAGCAAGCAUCUCGAUAGUGGUAUUUGAAAUUUGACGAGGUUGUAACUUCUCUUGGUUUUGUUGAAAAUAAGUAGAUCAAUGCAUUUAUCUCAAAAUCAGUGGGAGAAAUUUCAUUUUUCUUGUCCUGUAUGUUGAUGAUAUUUUGCUUACUAGAAGUAAAUUGUGGUUGCUCCAUGAGACAAAGAAAUGUUGUUUGCUAAUUUUGAGAUGAAAGAUCUUGGAAAAGCCUCUUAUGUGCUUGGCGUUGAAAUACUUCGUGAUAGAAAUCGUGGCUUAUUGGGACUUUCUCAGAAAGCUUGACGUGUUCUAGAAAGGUUCAAUAUGCAGAACUGUGCACCUGGUGAUGUACCUAUGAUAAAAGGGGAUAAGUUUACCAAAACUCAAUCUCCAAGGAAUGGGCUAGAAAGUGAAUCUAUGAAAAUGAUUCCAUAUGCAAAUGCUGUGGGGAGCUUGAUGUAUGCUCAAGUUUGCAAUAGAUCGGAUAUAGCCUAUGCAAUCAGUGUUCUUAGUAGGUUUCAGUCGAAUUCAGGACAAGAACAUUGGAAAGCAACUAAGAAAGUUAUGAGAUACCUAAAGAAAACUGAAGGUUAUAUGCUUAAAUUCCAACGUUCAAAUCACCUUGGUGUGGUAGGUUAUUUAGAUUCUGAUUUUGCUAGAUGUCAAGAUGAUUUGAAAUCAACCCCAGGUUACAUUUUCACGUUAGAUGGUGGUGCUAUCUCUUGAAAAAGUACUAAACAGACUCUAGUGGCAUCUUCUACCAUGCAAGCUGAAUUUGUUGCAUGUUAUGGGGCUACAGUCCAAGCUAUUUGGUUGAGAAAUUUCGUCUCUGGAUUGAAAGUUGUUGAUUCCAUCUCAAAACCAAUCAUUAUUUAUUGUGAUAACAGUGCAGCAGUAUUCUUUUUAAAGAAUAAUAAACGUUCUAAUAGGUCAAAGCAUACUGUGGCUAGAGACAAAAUCAAGGAAGGAAAGACAAAAAUAGAACAUAUCAAUACAAAAGUAAUGAUUGUAGAUCCUUUGACUAAAGGAUUCGCUCCAAAAGUCUUUAAGACACAUGUUACUAAUAUGGCAUUGUGAAAACAUUUGAUAUUUUUUAUUAGUGGGAGUUAUUUAUGUAAGAGAACUAUGUCUUGGACUUGAUCUCUUUACAAGGUACGUAGGCAACCCAUAUAUUUUUCGAGUACAGCCCCCUGUGAUAAUGAAAUAUUUUUUUCUUAUCUAUGAAUUUAUUUUGAGCAUGCAUUUAACUUAUUUCUUUUCAUUAUGAUAUUAUGUAAUCUCGAGAUAUGGCAGAUAAAGAUAUAAGAUGAGUCUUUUUUAGGGACAUGUGGCUUCAUUUUGAUCUGAAGCAUAUGAUGACUGAUAUGAAUUAGCAAAGUUUUUUGUCACAUUUAGUGCUAAGUUCAUACCACAUUGAUUGAAGGAUAGGGAUCUUUGUCGAUAAGGAUGUUGGCAUUUGUAGCUGUGAAAUGGUCUUACAUCGCUUAAUUGAUGUAAUAACUUUCAUGUUCGGUGCUGGCAUUCUUGUUGAACCAGAUCAUGUUGUGUAAAGUGUCGUCAUUGGAGCUAUAUUUUUGUGGUCACCUAUGUAGUCUAACCUGGGUGUUAAAAGUUUUGUUAUAACAAUCAAAUGUUUGCGUAAGUGGGAGAAUGUUGGGAUAAUUCCAAAUAUGGGCUUCACUUUUGAUUGUAAAUUUUACGGGUUAGAUGUAUGGCUCAUAAUGAUAUUUAGAUUUGGACAAGUUUAUUAAAGUGAUCAAUUAUGCCUUUCAUACCUUACGGGUUGUGUUUAAUAUGAUGUGGUAAUUUUAAGUAUAUGGACCGAAAAUAUAUGUAAACCCUUAUUAGAGUUUCAGUCGUAAUAGGACGGUUCAAUAAUUUAUUAUCUUGCCUCAUUGACUGCUAAUAUUUUGUGAAAAGCAAUGAGAGAAAGAUAUAGCUGUUAUUAUUCAUGUCAACAAUGGCUUUCCCAGGUAUGAAUUCAAUUUAUCAAUUUAUUAUUUUGUGAUUGUUAAUUCUUAGCAUGAUUACAAUUAAAUUCAACAUGUCCUUGGUUGAGCUUAUUGUAAACAGGCUAUGAAUUUCGGCUAUCCACGCAUUGAUAUGCUUAUCUCGAUUCUUAAAUUUGUGUAAUAUCUGCAUUGAUUAGUCGUGUAUUAAGAGAUUAUGCCACCAUUUGGUCCCCGUUCUUUCCAAAUUUUUGAAAAAAUGUGUGGUUGAAAAUAAAUGAAUUUUUUUUUAUUUGCUUGUACUAUUAUUUUGUUGAAGAUUGUGCAGUUAAAAAUAAGAGAGAAAAAGAAUGAAAAGGAGAAUGGGGGCUAAUUACUAAACAUAUGUUACCUUAUUUAGCUAGGAAUUAGAAACCUGUUUCUGGACUAUGUAAUUGACUAAUGACUCUUGUAUGAAUACCCUCGACAAAUAUAAAGCUAUAAAUUUGGCCAAAUUAUCUCUUCUUAAUUUGGCGUCAGAUCAUACAAGCAAAGAAUUUUACUAUCCCCUAUUUUUUUCUGGUUGAAACCUUAGUCUUGUUGCUGCCUUGUCUUUUUUUUUUUUUUUGCAACCUAAACCCUUAGCCGCCAUCAUCCUUCUCUAAACCUAGAUGCUACCUCUACUACCUUACUAUGUCUUGAAAUUCUAUAAUGAGUACCUCUGCUCGAUUGCCUCUUAUUGUAACCACCCAUGUAACUCUUUUCCAGUCACAAUUAAAUUUGAUGGGAAUAUUUACUAGGGUUGGUCUUAGAUUAUAAAGAUGUACAUCGCUGAUAGAAGGAUGAAGAGCUACAUCACGAGAAGGAAAAUGGCACUAGCAGAGGAUGAUCCAGGCUAUGAUGAAUGGGGGCCAAGAUUUUCUAGUCAAGUUUUGGCUAAUCAACUUCAUGAUGGAUAAGCCGAUAUCCACAUUGUAAACUUCAUGAUGGAUAAGCCGAUAUCCACAUUGUGUAAUAUAGAACAACUAAAGAGGAUUGGAAUGCGAUCAAGAUGAGCUAUCUUGAUGUUUUCAUUUCAAUCACGUCAAGAUCGUUGACCUUUUGCAUAAUAUUACACUGAGUCAAUCUUUAUGGAACUCGAUUAUUGAAGUCUCAAUGAUAUGAAGAAUCUUAUUCAUAUUGAAAAAUAAAGAAAGUAUACUUCUAAGUAUUGGAUUUGUCUGUUUCUUACAGGUCUUGAUCAAAACUUGGAUCAAGUUAGCGGCUGUGUUUUGGCCACCUCCCCUUUAUAAGCUUAUAGAAAGCAUGCUCAACAAUCUAUCAUGAGAACAGCAACAAAUUACCAUGGAACCAAAAAAGAUCACUCUAAUUGCUCCACAAUGGAUUUCCAAAAGAAUAGUAUUCGGCUAGCCACUCUUCGUCCUCCUAAUGAAUCUUCUUCCCGUCAUUUCCCUCAUACGGAGGACUAUAAAAUGGCUGUCUAAAAUUACAAUGUCAAUUUAUACUCAACCAGCUAUCUUCGAUAAGUCUACAUGUCCUCCUCCUCACCUUUUCACUCACUACAAUAGUACACUUCAUAAUGUAGAUGUCUGCUGGAAGAAGCAUGGUUAUCCAGAGCAGUUUAAAUUUCAGCAAGUUAAAAGAAGGAACAAGAAGUCUGUACAUGUUGUCAUUGUAUCCCUACUACUUCUUCAUCUCAUGUUUUUUAAUUGUCCUCUGUGUAGUUAUUUCUUAUUUGAUUUAGGGGCUACAACUAGCAAAUAUUCUUUUCUUAACACUAUAUAACGCCUUUUCCUGUUAAGUUUGUUCACGUAAUUAAUGAGAAACUUAUGUCACUCUCCUUAUCUUCCAUCUUACUUGUGCCUAAUCCUUUUAAUAAUCUUCUUCCCAUUAGCAAGAUCACAGAACGGCUACAAAUUCUUCCCCUCCUAUAGGAUAAUACUAUCUAUCGAUGUUGAGUUGUUGAGUUUUGUAAACAUGAAUCGUAUUCUUGUGAAGAUUUAGCCUUAGUUCAUCUUCAGAGAGAGAUUAGUAAUAAGGAAGAGGAACGAGUAUGGUUGGGAUAAAAGAAAUUAUAGAUAUCUGGUCUGAAUUUGAGUUAUGGGGAGGUUUUAAAGUCUGGAACUAAUAAAGGUAAAAGACCAGCAAUGUUGUUCUAAUAGGGUUAUACAAGAAAGAACAAGGAUGCUUCUAUCCCUUCAGGUUCUGAGACUUUUCUUGGCAAUACUACCAUGCCAUCAGAUGACUUUUCCAAGACUACUCCUAAGGUACAUGAUUCUUCUCAUGUUUCUUCUUCUUUUUUUCCCUUAUAUUUAGAUACUAUUACUUUGACUCUAUCGACGGCAAUCCAGGAAAUGCCUUUACGCGAUCGUAAAGAACCUAAUGGUCUGGGGUUUCAAAAUCAUCUUCUAAUGUUGUGUAUCCCAUGUAUGACUUUGUUUAUUAUCAUAAUUUAUCUAAAACUCAAGCUUUUUCUCUUUAGUUUUCUCCCACAUUUUCCUAGUCAUUUCUAGAGAAAAGACUCGAAGUGGAAGUCUGGUAUGGUAGAAGAAAUGAAAGCCUUCCAUGAGAACUUUACUUGAGAGAAGGUUGAGCUACCUAAGGAAAAAAAAAAGGCAAUAGGCUAUAUGUGGCUAUUCUCUAUAAAGAACAAGUCAGAUGGGACAAUUGAUAUGAACAAUACUAGGCGAUUCGUGAAAGGAUACAGGAGAUUGACUACCAAGAAACAUUUGUCCAUGUAGCUAAAAUGACCACUGUUAGAAUUGUUCCCUUUCAAGACCAACCUAGACUAACCUUAAGAUAAUUUGAUGUGAAGAAUACAUUCCUUUGCUAUGAUAUAAAGAAUGCAUUCCUUUACAAUGAUAUGAUAAAGAAGGCAUGCAUGGAUCUUCUUCUAAAGUUUACACUGAAAGAAGGUAAGGUACAAAAAUUGAAGAAGACGUGUUUAGGCUAAAACUAAGGGCAUGGUUUCAGAGAUUUAGCUGCUCAAUAAAGGAAUAUGGUUUCAAUAAAUCUUUGGAAGAUCACAUCUUGUUCUAUAAGAGAGACAAUGAUGACAUUAAUUUGCUUAUUGUUUGUGUUGAUGAUAUGAUUGCUAUAAGAAGUAAUCUCAAUUAAAUAUAGGAACUUCAAAGCAAUCUAGCCAAUGAAUUUAAAAUGAAGGACUUGAGGAUUCUAGAAUACAUCUUAGGCACCGAGUUCUUUUGGUCCAAGUAAUGACUCUUUAAGUCUCAAUAGAAGUAUAUUGGAGAUCUAUUAGCUAACAUUGACAACUAAUCUUAUAUAUUCAUAGAUACGCCCAUUUAGAUGAAUCCUAGUCUAUAUAUACUUAUCAAAUUAUAACUAAUAAAGAGAGGUAUCAAAUAUUAGUGGAAAGAUUGAUAUUCUUACUCACAUGAAUGCAAUUAACCACAUCUUGGUUUAUAUAAAGUCCUCUCGGGACAAAGGCAUUAUGUUCUCUAGAGUUGGACAUCUAGUUAAUUUGGCUACGUAGACUCUAAUUUUGUAGGAUUCGUAUUGGAUAGAAAGCUAACUUUCGGAUGUGUCAUUUGUUGAAGGAAAUUUGAUGACUUGGAUGAGCAAGAAGCAGAGUACGGUAAUUUGCCUAGUACAGAAGCUGAGCAUCAUGCCUUCUAUUGUACAACUACAAAGCUUACAUGGCUCAGAAUUCUCUUAAGUGAGCUCAACUUUGAAAGAAACCUAUGAUGCUCUUAUGUGAAAACACGUUAAUAAUUGACAUUGAAAAUAACCUAGAACAUAACAGAACAACGCAUGUUGAUCUUGAUACAAACUAUUGACGUAAGUAGAGUGAUUGUAGGAAAUUCUAAUUGUGGAAUCUUAAAUUUCAAGACUCCUCUCCAGGCCUUCUCCGUUUUUGUUUACCUAUCAAUGGCCUUAAUGCUUCUGCCUAAGGUUUUUGGAUGUAUGGCAUUUGUCCAUCUUCACAGGAAUAAAUGAUUAAGCUCGACCCCUGUGUGCUUUAGCAUCUUUUCUUAAGAUACGAUGUCCAUCAAUAUGGGCACCACUGGUAUGAUUCCUCUACUAAAUGGACCUACAUUACCAUGGAUAUUAUAUUUCUGGAGUUGAAAAUGUUUUUUCCAUCAUUAACAACCAACUCUUCUGUUUCGAGGGAGACAAUGAGUGAAGAGCCGAAAUAGUUUAACUUAACUAGAUAUCAUUUGUUAAAUACUCUCAAGGAGAUAAAUUUUAGAGCCAUAGUUAACACACGAUCAGGUCUUCCUCCAGUAAGCCCAUCCGUUCCCAACCCUCAUCCUCCUGAAGAUCAACCUUUUCCUCAAGAAGAGUCAUUAAUUUACUUACGUCCCAGCCAGCAAUCGUCACGGUUGGAGCCUUUAAAAGCUAUGUCAACAAAUAGCCACGUUAACUCAGCUGCUAAGUCCAAGAAAUUCACAUCCGUCACCGACGUCGACAAAUUAGGAAGGUUUUAUGAAUAAUGCUCGAGCCCGAUCACCAAACCCCACUACUAGUGAUGGUGGGAUAGGAACUUCAGGCAUCCCGAACGUGGCCUCAGGCUCAAGAUCAGUGACCAUGGGUUCUAGUGAGAUUGCUCGGAUCAUUCAAGAAGAAAUAAAAUUAGUUUGUUUCAGAAUACUCGAGGGUCAACUUAUUUUACCACCAACACUCCGUUUACGCUAGAGAUACUAUCAUACCCUUUGCUUGAUAGAUUCAAAUAUUCCCGCAUUAAAGAGUAUGAUGGAACGAUUGACCCCUAUCAACCAUCUCAAUGUGUAUAUUGAAGUGAUGAAUAUGCAAGUUACACCGGAUCAGGUGAUAUGCAAGGCCUUCCCACAAACAUUAACAAAUGAUGCUAAGGAUUGGUUCUCAACAUUAAAGCCCAAUUCCAUAGCCUCAUCCUCAGACUUGGUCGAUAAAUUCUUUGCUUUUUUUACAAAUAGCAAGUGAAUCAGGAAAAUAACAGCCUUUGUUAUGUAGCUUCAUCAAGGACAGAAUAAAAUCCCAUGUAGCAUCAUGAUAAGGUUUAACAAAAAAAGGCUCCAAAUAUCAGACCUUUAUAUUACAACAGCAGUUUUCACCCUCACAUAUGCCAUAAGGCGUGAGGCACUGAAGAUAUCCUUAUCAAAGACACUGCUGCAGACAUUGAUCGGGCUCUUUAUCUGAUUUGAAAGUACAUUAACAUUGAGGAAACGUUAAAUUCGAUGAAGGUCGGUCCAUCCUACGAAAAAGUCAAGCAUAAGAGACAGCACGAUUCAAAUCCCUAACAAAAGCAUCCUCGAGAUAAGCAUAGAAAUGAAGUGCCACCAAUGCCCCUUACCUAGUUGAACACUUCCAAGGCUAAUAUUUUGAUGACGAUCAAGGAUAUGAAAGAGUUGAAAUGUCCUCCAAGAAUGAAGUCGCCUCCUAAUGCCAGGGACAUGAGCAAGUAUUGUGAGUUCUACUGGGAUCAUGAGCGUACCACAGAAGAUUGCAAGGCCCUACAAUGGGAAAUCGAGGCCCUUAUUAAAUGACGAUUCUUAAGUAAUUACGUUGGUCAUGAUAAAUACCCGAGAAAUGACCGAGAUAGAAAGAAAGAGCCCAAAGUUGAAGGCAGCAAUCAGCCCACAACAAGAACCAUUAAUAUCAUCAUCAGAGGCAUAGCAUCAUCUAGAGGAGAUACAAAUAACGGGUGGAAGCAGUAUGCCCAAUAGUAUGCUCAUCCUUCAAAGGAAUUCCAUGAUAGGCUCAAAGGCGUUACUUUUGGGGCAAAGGAUUUGGAGGAAGUAUUGUAUCCUCAUGACGAUGUCUUGAUUAUCUCUACAGUUGUGGCCAAUUUUGAGGUAAAGAGGAUUUUGAUCGACAAUAAGAGUGCAACAAACAUACUCUCUCAUGAGACUUUCACAAAGAUGGAGAUCUUGGCCAGCCAACUCAAGGCAAUUAGAACUCAUCUUCAGGGUUUUGGUAGUGGUGUCAUUGUCUCGGAAGGUGUCAUCAAGCUUCCACUUACAUUAGGUUUUGAUAAAGCACAGGUGAUAGAGAUCACGCCCUUCCAGGUAAUUCGCACUCCUAUGGCUUACAAUGCUUUUUUAGGAAGGCCGCUACUCAACAAGAUCCAAGCCAUCGUAUCUACUUUUCACCUUACCAUGAAGCUUUCAAUAGGUCCUAGCGUUGGACUGGUACGAGGAGACAGACAGCUGCAAUACAGUGCUAUGUUACUAGCGUCCAGGGAAUAAAUGUCGAUGUCAUAAAAUUUAGUGCCGGGCCUUGAGCUCGAGCAUCGAGACGAACUUGUUCUGGUUGAGAAAUUGGAGAUGGUCGAGCUAGCGCGAGGAGAAAGGUGACGAUACGUUGAGAUCUCAACACCAGCCUCACGAUUGAGCUCAUCAGUUAUCUGUCUCGCAAUAUUGAUGUUUUUGCAUGGAAGGUUGAGGAUAUACUAGGUAUAGAUCCAAAAGUUGCAGUCUAUAAACUUAACAUAAGUCCAGGGGCCAAACCAGUUAAGCAAAAGAGGCAGCAGUUUGCACCAGAAAGGUGAGAGGUCAUUCGAGAAGAGGUUAGUAAACUUGUCAGAGCUGAGUUCAAACCCCGAUUGGCUGGCAAAUGUUGUCCAGAGUAUGCAUUGAUUUCACUGACCUCAAUAAGGCAUGUCCUCAAGACAGUUACCCACUCUCUUGGAUUGACAAUCUCAUGGAUAGUACGUCGGGACAUAAGUUGUAUAGCUUUCUUGAUACAUUUCGGGUAUCAUCAGAUUCUUAUAGCCGAGGAAAACUAGGAGAAGACGUGUUUCAUGGUUGAUUCUGCCAUAUGUUGUUAUAGGGUCAUGCUGUUUGGGUUGAAAAAUGUUGGGGUAACGUAUCAGAAGCUCUUCAACAUAGUCUUUGCCAAAUUGAUAGGGAAAAAUGUUGAGGCCUAUGUUGAUAACAUAGUGGUUAAAAGCAAGAAGGAGGAGCAACACAUUACCGACCUCGACGAGAUGUUCGCCAGCCUACAAAAGUAUAAGAUGAAGCUCAACCCAAAGAAGUACAUAUUUGGCAUAGCAUCGUGAAAGAUCUAGGACUUCAUGAUCAUUCAUUAAGGGAUUGAGGCAAACCUCGAUAAGAUUCAAGUCUUGGCUACAAUGGAAUCACCAAGGAGUAAAAAAGAGGUUCAGAAGUUGACUGGCCGCAUCGCCGCCUUAAACAAGUUCACGUCUCGAAUAGUAGAUAGGUGUUUCCCUUUCUUCAAGGUUCUCAGAGAUAAUCGACACUUUAAUUGGAAUGAGGAGUGUGUCGCUUUUCAAGAGCUCAAGCAAACAUUGGCAUCUCCAGCAUCCUUACAAAACCCGAGGUCGAAGAUAUCCUAUUUCUAUACUUGGCUGUUUCCCAGAAUGCAGUGAGUGGUGUGAUGGUGAAAGACGUCAAUAAGGUCUAGCAACACAUCUAUUAUGUGAGCAAGGUCUUACUUGAUACAGAGAUUAAAUACACUUUAGCUGAACAGCUAGCCCUUGCCUUGAUAGUAGCAGCACGAAAACUUCGAUAAUAUUUCCAAUCUCACCCUAUCAUUGUGCUUUCUAAUCACCCUCUCAAGCAUAUACUCCAAAAACCAAACAUCUCGGGCAGGUUACUAAAGUGAGCAAUUGAACUUGGAAAAUUUGACAUUAAGUUCAAACCCGACCAUCUAUUAAAGUACAAGCCUUAGUUGAUUUCAUUGCAGAACUUACCCCAAGGCCUUGGGGGCCAGGAAAUAGCUCAAGCAUCCUUGGCACGUGGAAAAUUUUUGUUGAUGGAGCAUCCAACUCAUCAGGCUCAGGUGCAAGGAUCAUUAUCAUAAGCCGGGACAAGCUCACAGACAUUUAAAUGUGCGCUUAGAUUUGAAGUUGAGACCAUCGGCAAUAAAGUGGAAUAUGAAGCCGCUGUCAUUGCUAUGGAGAUCGCCAUCAAUCUUGAGCUCGAAUAAAUCAGAAUUUUUAGCAAUUCUCAGCUUGUGGUGCCCAGAUUGAAAGUACAUUUGAGAAGAAGGAUGAAAAAAUGAGCUUAUAUUGUUUGAAAGUUUACUACCUUCGACGACAAUUCAAGAGUUGUGAAAUUGGAAAGAUUGCUCGAGCUAAUAACUAUAAGGCUGACACCUUGUUUAGGCGGUGUUCAUGGGGGAUAGAUGAGCUUAACAGGAUAGUCCACAUCAAAAUUAUGACUGAGCCUAGCAUCAAUCAAACCAUUAGCGUCAUGGACAUUGACCAUCAGUCAUUGUGGAUGGACCCGAUAGUGGACUUCAUAGUCAGUGGGAAUCUCCUAGAAAAUCCUCAAGCAGUGAAGAGCAUUUGAUCAAAAGCACCAAGGUACUAUAUGAUUAGAUGUGUCUUAUUUCGAUGAACUCCCACACUUUUAUACCUCAGAUGCCUUAAACCCUCGGAGCCAUCCUAGGCCCCGACUAAAGUUCAUGAAGGUGUGUGUGAGAACCAUCAAAGAUCUCAGGCAUUGGCUUUCAAACUCAUAAGGUAUGGAUAUUAUUGGCCUACAAUGAAAAGGAUGCCUUGGAAUACAUCAAGAAGUGUGAUAAAUGUCAGAGAUUUGUCAAUACCAUCCAUUCUCCUAUAGAGGACCUCAUUAGCCUUAGUUAUUCGGUCUCAUUUGAACAAUGGUGUGUUGACAUCCUCAGGCCCCUUCCAAUAACAAGGGGGACAAUUGAAAUUUGUGGCAGUAGCAGUAGAAUAUCUUACCAACUGGGUGGAGGCCCAGCCUUUGGUAACAAUCUCAGAGCCUAAGUUAAGAACUUUCAUUUGAAAGUCUAUUAUCUGCAGGUUCGGGAUAUCGAAAGUCCUCAUAGCUGACAAUAGCAGACAGUUUGAUAAUGCACAAUUUAGGGAUUUUUGCUCCAAUCUAGGGAUUGACCACGAUUUGAUGUCAGUUUCACACCCUCAAAGUAAUGGCUUGGCCAAAGUAACCAACCAGAGUAUCUUGCAAGAUCUUCGAACAAGGAUAGAAGAUGCUAGAGGUGCUUGGUUAGAAGAGUUGCCCUCCUUACUUUGGACAUACAGAACAUCUCACAAGACUGCCACAGGUGAGACCCCCUUUAUGUUAGCUUUUGGUACAGAAGAUACCAUCCCGGUGGAAAUCAGGUUACCUAGCCAAAGAAGGCUUGAGCCUAAGACCUCAGAACACACUACAAAACACCUUGACUCCUAGAAGAAGUUCGUGAUUAGACAGCCUUAGGAAUGGCCUUUUACCAUAAUAAAGCAGUGAGAUAUUUCAAUGAGAAAGUUAAAUGUUGGAGGUUCAGAUUCGGGGAUCUUGUGUUGAAGAGGGCUGAAGCUACAGGUCAUGCCUGCCUCAGGUAAACUUGGGCCAAUUUGGGAAGGGCCUUUCGAAGUCAUACAACAGCUCCUAGGAGGUACAUACAGCCUAAGAGAUAUUUUAGGAAGACUACUCUCAAGACUAUGGAACGCAGAUAACUUGAAGAUUUACUAUAAGUAGUCCACCAUGUAGUCUAUCUCUUUUGUCUUAUUUUUAGAGUCCGACCUACGUGCCCAUCUUUAUUUUAGUUUGUCAAGCCUACAUGCCCAUCUUCAUUUUUAGUUUGUUGGGCUUGUGUUUCCAUCAUUAUUUUUAGAAUGUCAAUCUUUAUUUUUUAGUGUGUCAAGCUUAAUAAAAGUUCUCCUUCAGCCAUGGAUGACAAAAGUCUUGCCUAGUGCAAGCAUAUCAAAGCCUUACCCCGUGCAAGCAAUUCAAAGCCUUGCCCUAUGCAAAUACCUAAAAACCUUGUCAGUGCAAGUGACCUAGAACAUUUUUAAACAACACAAGUAAAAAUACCCAAGCAUAUGACAACCCAAGCCAUCAAGUGCUUGAAAGCAGUUAAAAUCACCCAGGCAUAGCUCGGGAUAAUGACUCCUCAUAGACCUCGGGUUUCUCUUUAAAUCUAAUAGUAGUCAAAUGCUUGGGGUCGAAAUGGAACUUUUAAUUGAUUUUGACCUAUUGCUAAAAGCUGACCUUAAGCUCGAGUUUAAUCUCUCUCAUUAAAUUCAACAUAAUGGUUGAGCAUAAUUUUUCGUGGGAGUUCAGUCCGCGGGCUUAAUUCCUAUGAGACCUUGGCUUAAUCAUUGAGCUAAGUAUAUUAGGUUCAAUAUAGUGGUCAAGCAUAUUACUUGAAUUACAAUGGUCAAAUGUUACAAUUCAGUCCUCGAGAUAGAUGUAUAACAAAAAAAGACAUGAAAGGACAUAGUCUUAAAUCAAUCAUUCAUUCAAAAAAUGCCCACACAUAUGGUCGGAGCAAAUACUUGGAUUAAUUUAAAAAAUGUCAUUUAUUUAACAAAAAGGCUCGUCAUUAGUGGUCGAGCAUUGUACGUAGGUUGUUUUACAACAAACAAGCUCGAGGGUACAAAGUUCAGGGUGAGGGCACUACUCUUAAUCAUCAGGCUCUGAGGCCUAACCCAUGACAUCGCACUUGACGUCAUCACCAUUGUCCUCUUCAUCAGCCACCGAAUCCUUUUCCUCCGAAAGCUCGAGGCUCUCUACGAUGCCGGGCACAGACUUAAGACCAUCCCCUUGACGCGUACUUUGCUUUGAGCUUGUCACAUUCCUUGUAGAAUUUGAACCCAUCCCAAGCUCGAUCUCGAGCUUUAGCAAGCCCAGUCUUGUACUUUUUACUCUUCUGCUUAAGCUCCAGCUUUGCAUCCGCAACCUCAUCCUUUGGUGCCUCCAUCUUUUCUUGAGCUUUUCGAGCCUCAACUGUAGUAUCUCACACUCUUUCAAUAAAAGCUCAAGCUUGGCCUACAGGUCAGCAAUUCUCUUGUCUCAAAGCUCGACAAAUUCUACGAGCACGGCCAUCUUACCGGACUCGUCCAUUACUUGGAAGAAAAGCCAUUGAGCAACACUAAGGGUCUGAAUGCACAAAAUAACGAGUGUAAGGUCGGGAAAAUAACUUGAAACAAAUUAGUACAUUAAGAGACUGAGACUUACCUUCAGUGUGAGAAGCUCGAUGGCCUUCAUGCCCCUCGUUGAACCCGUCGUCCCCCUGUAUUUUGCCAUUAUGCUUAGGCCGAGGUAGCAACAUUCGAAAGUCCUCGAUAACUAAGGCCAUGGGAGGGAUGCUGUCUUCCUCGAGAUCGACAAUUUCAGGUAUACGUCGUAGAGGCAAGACCCAUGGAGAAAAAGGCUACUGACGUGGCGAAGUACAAGUAUGUAUCAUAGGUCGAGACUGAGCCAUAGGUCGAGGCUGUGAGGACUUUUCGGGUCCCUUCACUCUAUGGUCAGGCCUUGAAGCCCUCGGCCUUUUCUUUCCUUUGGUCGGGGCGCUAGGCUGAAGAGCCUUGGCCUUAGCAUUCACAUGCCUCCUCAAAGCAGAAGGAUCAAAAGAUAUUCUACAAAAAUGCGUAAGUGAUUAGAAUGAUGACAAGGUCAAGAUAAAAUCUAAUACAAAUGAGGAAUAUCCUACCAUCGACAUCUGAGAUGCCUACGAGGUCUAACACAUCAUCCCCAUGGAUAUCUUUCAUAAUCAGUACCAAAGGAUCAAGAUCCUCGAGCAUUUGUUUAUGACGAUCUAAAGACUCAAAAUAUGCCUAACCCUCACAAAAUUUGGCCAUGUUCGGAAAGCCAUAUCUCGACCAGAAAGAGAGAUCGACCACUUAAGGAAUAACAUAAAACCACCUAUCCUUCCACCCCUUUAACGAACUAGGCGUGUUCGUAACCCUGAACCCCCUCGAGUUGAUAGAUAGACGAAGCAUGAAAAUUUGGGAUGCUGCUUGAGUUCAAACACAUGCGACACAGAUUGGUGUAAGGUGUUAUGCUUAGAUAUCUACAAGCUAUAAAGAAGUCUAUGAGUAUCCUCCAGGCAUUGGGCACUAAUUACCCCAGGCACGUGCAGUACUUGACCAAUAAACCUAUGAAGAAAGGGUGCAAGGACUACCUAAAUCAGGCCUUUAGGGUGUCCCAGAAAAUAACAAACUUUCCCUCCCAAGCCUACACCGUCUUGUCGUCUGGAUUAGGCAACCUAAUUUCACUAUUUGGCAUUAGCCCGAACUCUCGAGCUGCUGUUAUGGCCAGGUGCUUCUUAAAUCUACAAGGCUCAUCUGGAAACCUAAAUUUUGACGUUAUACUGCCCCCUAGGUCGGGCAUCUAUAGGUAUUAUCGAGGUUCCUAUAUCCUUACCACCACUCGAACUCCCAGAGUCAUGCUCACUCUCACUACUCGACAUCACUACAAAAAAUAAAAUAUAUCAAGGUCCGAACCUUACCUCAAAUCACUCAAUGCCCCCAAGGUAUUUUCUAAGGAAAAUGCUCGAGCUCAAUAUUGCGGAAGAAAAUUUACAAUAAGUAAAAAAGUGAAAAAUGAAUGGUAAAUGAGGUAUUUAUAGGGGUGGAUGGGGAAGUCCAAAGGUUUCCAUCCUCGUUGUUGGAUCACACCACAUGUCGAACAUUCACGACACCUCUUUAAAUCGCUUUUCAUACACCCGAGCAUUCAACAUCUACAUGGCGUAAUGUUUUAUGUGGUAACCCUAACACUUUGCAAAGAUUCGACUACAUUAGUAUUCAAAUAGCUUCCCAAUCUACUAUGCAUCCUCCCAAAACUCGAGCCUUUUAAAAACAAAUGCAUAGGGGCCAGUGAUGAGGACAUUAUUCUUCAAUCACCCGAGGACUUUUGACGCUUGCUUGGAGUACAUGAGCCUCUGAGUCCUCGGGAUAUAUACAGUCCGGGUGUAAUUGAUCGAUGACUAGUUCCCAUAAUUACAUAAUACACGUCUUAACGUGCUUGGGAUCAUGUCCUCGAUUUUCACCUUACGCUUCGUCUCGAUGCCCAUCCUAUUCAUACUCAAAGAAGUUAUAGCCCUAUAAGAAUUCUAAUCUCACCCAAACUCCUUGACCAAGCCUUAUAAACCUGAUGGAACUCUAACUCGACGAUGUUACUAUGGCGAUUAGGAUUGUAGUCACAAUAUAAGUUCAAUAUCCGUACCGAAUAGGACUCUUUCAGAUAAGGAUGCUCAACUAAACUAAUCCUACUAGGAGUGCACCACCUAUAUCUAUAAAUAUGAUGCUCCCUCCUAUUAUUUAGGUACGUUUUUCAUUAUUUUCAGUUUAUUUUGCAAAAAUUCUCUUUUUGACUUAAGCAUCGGAAGGGCAAUGAGAGCACACUUCGUUGCUUUUGUUUCAGGUACUGGAAGACUAUGCUGGUGCUCAUUUGCAGUCCUCAAGUUUCAGGAAAUCAGCAGGUGCAGAUUUUUGGUAGCAUCAUUUGGUUUUAAUUGACAUAGAGUUAUAGUAGGUUAAACAAUCGGGUCAAAGGUUAAUUUCGCUCGAGAAAAGUAAUUAGCUGUAAUUGAAAUAUCGGGUCUAACAUGGUAAACAAGUAAUUUAUUAAUUGGCUUGUUGAGAAAUUAAUUAGGCGACGGCUAAGUGAAACCAUGAAUCUCAAACAUGUUUUGUUCCAAAAUUUCCAAGUAUUUAUGUUUUCUUACUUUUGUUGAUUUUUAUUUAAUUUUCUUUAUUUUCCAAAACCAAAUCUGUAUUGUUUGUUUGUUUUUAUUGAUUAAAUUUGUGUAAUCUAAAGUAAACAUUAUUCGAAAAAUCAAUAAUUCAAACUCAAAAAGUUUACUUUAUUACUUGAACGCGACCCAUGCACUUGCGAUUUGCACUUUCUUAGCAAACAAACGCAUUAUGUCAAGUUAUUGUGGUUGAAAUGAAAUUUAUGGAGUCACUUGAUAAUAUAUCAAUUCUUAAUUUCCUUUGCAUUGAUUGGUUGAAAAAUGUAUGGAGACUUCACAUAUUGUUAAAAUAACCAGUCUUUUGUUUUGUUUUGUUUUGUUUUGAUAUUUGUUAGUGGUGUACGUGUGUGUAAGUUAUGAAAACAAGUGAUGGUUUUUCUCAAUUACUUAACCAUUUUCUUUUACCCACUCAUCAAUCACAUUUGCUUUAUAUAUAUACUUAACACAUAGUUCCUGAAUAUACACAACUCUAUAUAUUUUGCCAUUCUUCAAAUCAAUGCAGAAAGGAAAUUUUUUUUUUUUUCAAAUUCUUGUCAAAUUUCAUAUUUUUAAUUAACGUAAGAUACUUAAGUACAGUGAUUGAAUUUUAAUCUCCAUGAUAUCUAUAUUAUGAUUUCAUUCAAUAUCUUAAGACUCCAAUGUCAACUUUUAUGUUAAAUCAUUAGGGAUAGAUCGUCAGGUCCAAUUAUAAUAAAUCCUUUGAAAUGUAGGAAUUCUAAAGAAAUUUCUUGAACUAUCUAUUAUCGUGAUCAGUGGUUCGAAAUCUAUGAAUGUUAGGUAUGAAUGUUUCGUCUAUAUUUAUGUUAUGUUGAAUAAAAAUUCGUCGUAUCUUAUUGAUGUUUUAUUUAAAAUACUCACUUUUACAAUAUUUCAUAUUCUAACGAGUCUUACUGGACUCAUGGAAGAUUGGACGAGUGGAUACUUAUGGUUUAUAAAGUAAAAAUGAUUUUUAAGCACGUUCAUAACUAGACUUUCAUUUAACAUUAUCAAGUUUAGUAUUUGCACAUUUUUUUGUAGCUUCAACAUUCAUAUUUUAUAUGUAUUUUGUUUAAAUUGAUGUUGAAUGAUUUUAAUUAAAUUUAAAUGUUGGUUUAACUACUCCUUUAUAUUCAUUGAGUCGAAUUAUCAAAUUUUUAAAAUUCCAAGGCGUAUUUUAUUUCCUCAAAAACAAGAAUUUACGUUCUGUAUCUAUACAAUAAAUAAGAAAUUUGGUAACAGUUCGAGUUUUUUUUUUUUAAUUGAAAAUUUUGAGGCGUUACAGUAAUUAGUUGGAAAUGUUCCAAACAUGAAAAAUCAUUGAUUCAAUAGCAAAAGACUAAUAAACCAUUUAUUCAAAAGUAGCAAAGAGUUACAAUUUGUAUCAAGAAGUCCAUUAAUGAAUUUAGAGUAGCUCAUAACAAUGUUAAUUCUAUACCUCUGUAUUAUGACAAUAAUAAAGCCGUUGCGCAAGCGACAAUAUUAAGGUCUCAUCAAUGAUUCAAACAUGUGUUUAGGCAGUAUCAUCUCAUUCAAGAAAUAAUAUAAAGAAAUGACGUAAAGAAAGAAUGAGCUCCCCCCAUAAAUAAUAUUACAAAGAGUUGAUGCAGUAAAAAUAUGAUCGUCGUGUAGACUCUUAUGGUAUAAGACACAUGAAUGAUUAAAUAAUUAGAUCUAUUGCAAGUUGGAAUUUGUAAGUAGAUGCAUUAGAUCCAAUCGAUUUCAGACAUAAACACUUUUAAUAUAUAAUUGAUACAUUUUAUAUAUGGCAAAUAUAUUAUUUAUUUGAACUAAUAUUCUAAUAAAUUAAAUAAUAAAAGUCCGUAGAUUCAAGUUUUAAUAACUUGUUAAUUACAAGAAAUUGUGGUCGUGAGAUAUAAAUUGCAUGAUUGAAUAUUAAAACAUUCGUAAUCGUAAGUAAUGAUGAAAUAUGGAUACCGUUAUUACGAUAGACCAUUACAUGUGGCAUUUUAUUCUUGUGAAGUAAAUAGCUAAUCUCACAAGUUGUGAAUAGUCAAUAGAGGAUUCGUCAUUCUUAGAUAUCAAGAUAUUAUUAUCUACAUUUCAUUCGGCUAAGUUGAUAACAAAAUUCUUAACAAAAGUGUACUCAUAAGUCAAAAGGAGUUUUCAAUUCACAUUGACUUAAUAGCGAAAUGAAAUAUAUUAUCGGUAAUCAAGAUUGACAUACUCCAUAUCUCGUAAUUGAUCGGAUCAUAAUGACGAAAUGAUUAUAAUUUCACGAUUAAAAAAAAGUUUAAUUAUCAUAUCACAUGACAUUUUUCGUCACAUGUGUUGCCCUAACACAAUGUUAGAUGCCAAUUUGGGACGACAAAUGUAAAUUAAUUAAUUUAGCUGAAUUAAUUAUAAAUUAAAAGGGUAUUUUAAUUUAUCUUAUUUUUGAUUUGAUCAAAAUAACGAUUCAUGUCAUUAUGCAUCAUAAUCGAAAACUUAAUGGGUUACACACAAUAAGAAUUAGAAAAAUGAAAAAUAUAAAUAAAUUAAUUGACAAAUAUUCGACAAUUAAAAAAUUAGGUUACUUAUUACUAUCCCUAAUUAAUUAAUUAAUUAGAUUAAUUAAUUAAUGGACUGUGUUUAAUUAAUUAAAUUAAUUAAAUAUGGACCGAAUUAAGUUUAGGUGUCGGGCCAAGCCCACUUGGACUUCUAUUAUUUGAGAAAUAAUAAUAAUAAUAAUAAUAAAACACACACACACACAAAAUUAUUAUCUAGUUAGUAUAAGAAAAGAGAAAUCCUAAUUCCCUUAUUCCUGAUCCCUGUAUAAAUUUUCAUUGGAUGCUAGACAAUUGGACAACUGUAUAUAUUGCAGAUCGUGAUUGAACGUGUGCAAGAUAAGCAAAGGAAUUUGCAAAAUUCAACAAAUAUAUAAUUUUUAUGACAAUUUCUUUUCAAACCCAAAAAAUAAAAAAUAAAUGUAAAAAAAAUCCUUGGUAGGAAUUGAAAUAUUGUUUAAAUUCUGCAGUGCAUCUUAAGUAAAUUCCCAACAUGUAUAUCGAGAAAUCUAUGGAUCAACUCAGGACAACCAAUUUGAAGAAUCUCUGAUUUAGAUAUUCAGUUAGUUCAAGGACUUGGGGAAAUGGGUGGAUAUGAUGAAAUAAAGCCAAUUUGAUGUUUCUUUGAAAUGAGACAUUCAAACUCAAAAGGAUCUCUCUCUUUCUCAAAGAAUGAGGGACCAAAAGUGCUUGUAGUGAUUUCCCCACCGUGGUCGUGGAUGAUAGAGGGCUCGAUUUCACCCCUCCUAUCAGCUAUAGUUUUUCGAGAAACGUGGGUCAUAAAAGAUGCUUUUCAAGAUUUCUCUCUCUCUGGUUUCUUUUUCAAAAGAAUCUUAUUAAUAUAGUUCAGGUGACCUUCCCCUGAAAGAUGGUUAACAUGUUCUAUUAGUGGCUGGUCCAGAUGUUUUGUUUAAUUAUUACAUUGCAGGGAUUGCUGAGAUUUCAAUUACAGAUUAGCAGGUAUAGAUCGAUGAAGUUAUACCUUUUUUUUAAAUAAUUUUGAAAUUUAGCAUUUUUAAUAUAUAAAUUAGGAUUCAAUUUUUAAUAUAUAAAUAUAAGGGUCGUAAUUUCAUAGAAACAACCUUCUUCAACAAGAGAUCUACUAUACAAGAACCUAGUGCUGAUGGUAUCAUUUUAUGACAUUACUUCUAACAUACGAUUCUUUAUAGAUUCCAUCGACUAGUCCGCACUCGAUCCAAAUGACAAAGAAAGAGGCAUCUUUCUAGAAAUGCUUAUAAUAUUUCAAUUUGAUUAUGAUCUCUCUAUCAAAGUAGGCUAAUCUUAAAUGAAACAUCCUAUAGUUUGGAUCCCAUGUUGGGAUAUCUCAUUAGAAUGUGUCCGACUCCGAUGGUACAAGAAUAAUGGAGCUUUAUGACUUGUAUUUACUUUGCCUAGGCAACCGAUUAAUUUUUCUGGCACAUGAAAAAUUCAGUUUUACCAUUGUAGCUUGUUAGCAGACCCUCAAGCAUAUUAGGCAAAGGGUGAUGCUACAACGGUGUCUACCCCCUCACAUUAAGAAAGAUGCUACAACGGUGUCUACCCCCUCACAUUAAGAAAGACCCACUUUUAACAAAAUAUAUUUUAUCCCAAGUAAGUUCCCCUCCAUGUGAAUAGGAUGAACACAGUCAUAAACAUAAACACCGCAUUAUGUACAAAUAACAUAUUCCUUUGGCAUAAACUCUCCAGGACUUGUGAUCUGAGCUUGAGGUCACUUUUGACUAAUCCACCACGAAGGUCAAGCAGAAUUUGAUUUCUCCGUGCGGACUGUAGAUCAAGACCAAAGUUCCACGUGGAAUGAAAGAUAUCUUUAAGCAUGGGAAAUCACAUAUGAUAUGAUUACACUAGCGGCAAAAAACAGAAACGUAAAAGAGAGGGUAAAGCCAUGCCGUCAACGAAAACCAUUCAAACAUAGAAAUUCUAACACAUUCGGAGGAAAAGAAGUGCUACGUGUGAAUCAAGAGAUUCUGAAACACGUAUAACUGUUUGCCAUUAUGACCAUCCUAUGAUCCCACAAUCGGGCAAUUUUCUAUCCUCUCAGCCAAGUGUUUCUAUAUGAUGAGUUGUCACGCAAUGAAGCAUCAUGGGGUUUGUAUUCCAUUACAUAGCUGGGGGGAAGCUUAAGAUGUCGCUUGAUAGCAUCCCUCAGCGCCAUUACAGCCUGAUAAAACAAACCAAAGUCAGCUAAGCUUGGUCAAGCAGACACAACAAGGGCUUGGAAAAAACUACUCACCUCGUGAUCCUUUGCAUUGCGAUUCCACACGCUCAGUAUGUCCUCAUUAAAACGGAUGCUUAAUACUGCACCACAAAUGUUAUCGCCAUAAUCAAGUUGGUCUCCCACUAGAGCUAGAACCUGCAUGCAAAAUUUUCAGAUGCUCACAUUCUCAACAGCCAAAAAGAAUACAUCAACAUUGCCCACCCAAUGCAUGAUUUCGGCACCACAAGUAUGUAUGUAAUUAUGAUAGUAAGACAGAAAAAUGAAGAGUAGUGUCCAUGUAGACGACCACAGGUAAGUAUGUAAUCGGACUUCGAGUUGAGUCGAUCCAAGUAUAUUAGAGAAUACUGUAAACAUUAGAGUACACCCAAUAUAAGGGCAGAGAAUAGUUUCAUAUCCCCUUCCGAACACACAGACAGUGAGACUUUAUUAGCUCUAGUAAAAUUGAUAGACAAGUUCAAAGAAGUUGCAUACAGAUAAUAGAAGAAUUCAGUUUCCCCACAAACAGUUAUCAUCAAAGUUUCUGUGGCAAUUAACAUUCACUGACAUCGAGGCUAACAACCCAAAAAACAGAAAGUAGACAGGGAACGGGAAAGACAUGAAAUCAUAUGAAAAGAAAAAGGAUGAUAUCAUGGAGCCGAAUGACAUGAAAUCACAUUAUUGGGCAACUUUUUGCCAUACCAGGUCUUCCCAAAAGCGACCUGAGACAGACUUUUUAAAUCUAAUAAUCCAUUUUCCACCAUUGCAGUUGGCAGAAUCCUGAUAAAAAGAGAAAUAACAUGAGAAUAAUAUUUCGUCUUUAAAAGAAUAACUAAACAAAGUAGAAGAAAGAAAGAAGAAAACAAUUCACUGACUCGAGUUGCAAAAUCAUACCUCCCACAGUGGACGAAUACCCUCCUUGAAAAGAUGUAAAUCAGUUGGACUUGGCAUUGUUGAGGGCCGAGCCAAAUGGCAGUAGCAGACCCAGAAACUUUCAACCUAUGAUCAAUCAACUUUCAACUGUAAGAAUAAUGCAUUAAUCCCGUAAGUAAUAAAAAGUAAUGCUAAAUCUCUAAGUAGAACUCACAGAAGGUGAAAAGCUAAAAGUUAGGCCAAUUUUAACAUCUUUAAAACAUUUGCGUUGAAGAGAAAAACUCACCGUGCUAAAUUCUAUGAUCUUCUUUAUAUUGUCCUCAUAUGAUGUUUGCGUUCUAACUCCAGGUGUGCGUCGAGUGUACCAGAAUACAAAUUUGUGCUGACAAUCGCAUCGAAGAAAGAAAGUUUCAUCAUAAUCAUUACAGAAGGAUAUGACAUCAUCAUAAAAUUAGGUAACAACAUUGACAAAAGGCAUCUUUCUAAGAGGUAAAAAACCAUCAACAAUAUAUCCUUCUUCCUAUGUAAUCAAACAUAAAGACCUUUAUAAUGGAUUUCUUGAAAUCACAAUCAAAAAGCUAUACAAACGUCCAGGAAGAAAAGAAUAAAGAGCCAUCCAGAAGCCUUAAUAUAAUCAAUCAUAAAUUUCACCUGUACUCAUGCAAUUCAAGGGAGAAAAAAAUGAAUUCAGAUUGGAUCAUUGCCGAUAUUGUUUUAUUAAUUUUCAAAGUUAUCGACAGCCAAUAGUCACACCACAAUGUCAUCCUAAAACAUCUAGAAAUAAUUAAAGCAUCCUAGUGUUUGCACAAUAAAUUAGUGGACACUAAAUCACAACAGCAGAGCCUCAAGGAAAACAUAGAAGACCCUUUUUACCAUGAAUUGUUUCAACAAUAGCUUUUAGAGGUACAGACAAGUGAAUAGAUGGAGCGAAAGAUGAUAGACACUACAGUUGAAGAAAAUUUGGGGCCUUUUCCUUAAUUUUUCGUUCACAUUCCAAAGUCCUCCAGGCAAGGGUAGGCAAAAAUACCAAAAAAACCAACCAAGCCAAACUGAGUUCGGUAAGUUUAGGUUGGUUUAAACCAAAAAAUAGGUAUGGUUCGGUUAAUUUUAACCAUUAAAAAGUCGGGUUGGUUUCGGUUUAAGCAAACAACCCGCUAAUACAUUUUUUAUUUUUUUAAAAUUUUAAAAUUUAUCUUUUAAACAUGAAAAAACAAAAUAAUAAAAAUACAAAUAUAAAUUUUCCUCAAAUGAUUUGUUUAUCAUCUAUAUUUUUCUACCAAAACUCCAAAUAUCAAAAGAAAAGAAAACAAGAAGAGGUGUUUGAUGUAAACUUCAAAUUUAAAUUAUAAUCUUACUCUCAUUUUGGUGUAAUUAUUUGUUUGUAACUAUUGGAUGUAAACACACACACACAUAUGAUGAUUUUGGAAAAAUUGAUAAUUUACCAUUUACAUUAUAUAAAUUAUCCAUAUGCACUACGCAGAAAAAAAUAUGUGUAGAAAAAAUCCAAAAAUAGAUAGGCAAUUUUUUUAACUCCCACCAAUGUUCAAACUGAUUAACCAAACCAACCAAAACCAAUUUGGUUUGGUUCGAUUUCAACAGCUGGAUCUGGUUGGUUUGGGUUGAAAUUUACCCAAAUCGAUCAAAUCAAUUCUGAUUUCGCUUUCGGUUUUGGUAUCGAGUUGGACUCAAAACCAACCCAACCCGAAAUAUGCCCAGGCCUACCUCCAGACAUUUUGUACAAAAUAGCUGAACUAAGAUUUAGCCUUUAAAAGUAAUUGGAACGAAGUGCUGGGCACCAACUCACCCUAUUAUUUUAGGGUUUGUAAAAUAUGUUGUUACCAAUGACGAUAUUUAUCUAAGAGAAAGGAAUGUCGCGAAGAUGACGAAAUCGAAAGGGACUCUAGGCUUUCCAUUUAUAGAAUUCAAGAUCAAAUAUCUUGGUCAUUUGAAAGUAUUCCUCUAGGACGGUUGCAAGGUUCAAGACAGGAGCUUCUAAUCCCAAUAGAUUUUAUAGAGAGUCUGAUAUGUAUGGGACACAAACCAAAUAAUCAUUCCAUAAAACCAAACCAUAAAUAUGGAGGAACUACAAUAGGAGCCAAACUAGAGAACGACAUGUACCAGCAGCUGGCUGGCAAAUGGAUUUACUAAUCUCAUACUUGACCAGAUUCGUCCUUUGCAUCGAGUAUUCUUAGACAAUUCAUGCUUUCAUGUGUGGAACUUCAAGAAGUCAUUAUAGAAUACUCAUGUAUCUGAAGCAAUAUUUAAAAAGGCAGUAAUCAGUACUAAAGGCAUUUUCACGGCGUAAGCCUCAAGGCGGAUUAUUGAUUAAGCCUAAGCCUCAUCACACACCAAAAAAAUUAAGUCCAAAAAUUAUUUUAAAACAAUACAAAUAUAAAAUAUAAUGAACUAUAAAUUAAAAAAAAAAAUCAAGAAUACAAAAAAAGUUAAAAUCAUAGAGACAGAUAUUAAAAAAAGAGAGAGAGAUAGAGAACCAAAAAAAAAAAAAAAUUAAAAGGGUAAAUUGCAGAAAAAGCCCCAAACCUUUCAAUUUGUUGUAGAAUAUAUCUUAACCUUUUAUUUUUGUAGCUAUAAUCCCAAACCUUUCGCUCUAACGGCACUCGAAGUCCAUUGGACAACAUCCGUCUAGUAUUCCGUUAGUCAACUCAAAAUUCAAACUUUGACUCAACUUGACAAAUUAAGUGCAAGGUAAAAUGGUAAAUUACAUUUUUUAUAAUUAAGGAAAAUAAUUAUAUCAAAAACCAAUAAAAUAAAAUAAAUAAAUGAAUACACUAUUCAUCUUCCUCAAUCCCCACCCCUCCAACCUCCACCUAUCCCUAAAACAAAAACCAGAAAAUUAGUCUGUGCUGACCACGGUCAUCGGCCUAGACAUCGCACCAGCCAUUGACCUAUUAUAUAUAUACACACACACACCCACACACACCAAAAUAGUCAACUUAUGGCUACCAACCAUUAAACCGCUAGGCCCCACAAACGCCAAAAAUCAUGGUCACAUGUAAAUAGAGCAAAAAUUGCCAAAAAUGUCAAGGCCUUCUAAAAAAUAUAUAUAUUUCUGUAAAUUCUCCGAUUUGCAUAUUUCCAAAUUUAUCCAUCCAAAUUUCCAAAAUGUCCCCAGAUUUUUACUUCAAAACAACCUUUCUGUACAAUUGCACUUCAAUACACAAUGGAUAUAGAGAUAUAGACACAAUGAUGCAUGUGUAAUUGUGUUUAAUUGUAUGUUUCUUCCAUACACUGGUGGAAGUUUGGUCCAAUUCUAGCCGCGUUCGAUCUGGCAGCACCCAAUUUAAUGAUUUUGUGGAUACAAAUGAAAUAGGUUAUGAAGAAAUUAAACAAAGAACUUUUCAGAAAAUGGAAUGUACAAAUUUUGGAAAAAGAUUGUUCCAUGUCUGGUGAUUUUGAAGAGGGUUCCAUGAAAUUAAAUUAGAAUGAGAAUUAGAAAGACAACUAGUUGGUGGGCAUUCAGUAUAGGUCAUUGGAUGAGAAGAAUGGGUCAGUGGCCAGUGAAGAUGGCCAACAUUGAUUUUCUGGUUUUGGGCAUUCGGGGAGGGGGUGCUUAGAUGGGUGGGGAUUGAAGGAGAUGAAUAACAUAUUCAUUUAUUUCUUUUAUUUUAUUCGUUUUUGAUAUAAUUAUCCUUUUAUUAUAAAAAAAAUGGUAAUUUACCAUUUUACCCGUCAUUUAAUUUGUUAAGUUGAGUCAAAGUUUGAAUUAUUGAGUGGACUAACGGAAUGUUGGACGGAUUCUGUCCGAUGGACUCCAAGGGCUGUUAAAGUGAAAGGUUUGGGAUUGUGGCCGCAAAAAUAAAAGGUUAAGGUAUAUUCUACAACACAUUGAAACAUUUGGGACCUCUGCCGCAAUUUUCCCAAAAUUAAAAUUAGAGAUAGAAAGAGGAGACAAAUAUUUAGCACUUGUUUGAGCCCCAUUUUUUGGGUACAAUGUAUUUAGAAUAGUGUUUUGUUGGAGAAUGUGUGGAUAAAAGGUAAGAGAAAAAUCUGGGUUUAAGUGUAACAUUAUUUUAUAAUAGAAUGUGUUGUUGAAAAACGGGGGCAAACAUAGGCUUAGAAAUAAAAGAAAAAUAUUGUGAAUAAAAUUGUUUAUCUGCUGGAAGUUUCAGAAUGUUCGGUGCCAUCUUGCAGUCUUGUGGAAGAAGGUUCUCUUGUUUCUUAAAAGUGAUGAGACGUGAGAUAGUAUAGUAGAUCAUUUAGGCUUUUUAUUGUUUAUUCGCACAAUAACAGAAUUGAUAGGCCCAUUUUUUCUGUUUUCAGGAACAAGAUGGGCCCAUUUAGAAAUCCCCUUCAUAUAUGAAACUCAUGCUUAAGACUUAAAAAGGAUGAAAAAUUUAAAGAGAGAAAAAAGGUAAACGGUAGAACAAAAUUGAGGCACAGGCCCCAUGAUCUUUGAUGCGCGUAUAUUGAAGUGUGCGCCUCAUUAAUGAGGCACCAGCCUCAUCGUAAAGUACUAUAACUAAUGCCUCAGCACAGUACGUGCAUCUCACUGCAGGAUUGCCUUGACUAGCUCCUUCUCAAAACAUGAUCUAAAGAACUCCAGUUAUUCAAGAAAGAAGUCAUUUGCAUGUUGAAACAUACACAAACGCCGACUGGCAGGCUAUAUGAGUGAUACGAGACCGACUUCAGGAAAUUGCAUUUUUUGGGGGCAACCUAGUAAUGUGGAGACAAGAAGCAAUAGCAACAGGUUUGUUGCAAGUAGUGUUUUAGCAGAGUUAAUUGCAAUAGCACAAGAAAUUUGAGAGCUAUUAUGUUGAAACGGUUUCUUACGGAGCUAAAGAUUGAAUUAAAGUUACCAAUAAAGCUCUAUGCUGGCAACAAACUAUCAAUUAAUAUAUUGCUUGCAAUAUGCAGAAACAAGACAGGACAAAAGCAUGCUGAGGUGGAUUGACAUAUCAUCAAGGAAAAAAUAGAGGAUGGACUUCUAUGCGUGCCUUAUAUUCGUGCAGUAAAUCAAUGAGCUGACAUACUAACUAUGCAAUUGGCUUAGAGACUGCCGCAGCAGCAUCCGUACGAUAUAAUUUCAGCAAACUAGGAACAAAUGAUAUAUAUGAACCAGUUUUGCAGGUGGAGAUUCUUAUGUGUAUAGUUAGAGACAUUUGUAAACACACAAUAUAGAUUUAUUCUCUUCUUCACCGUAUUUGUCUUUACAAACAAAUACAUACUUGAAGAAAGACUUGGAUGCAGACCAGAAUUUGUGGGAAUUGAAUCCGGUAAAUAUCAGAAUAAUACUCUUUCAUAUACAUUGAAUCUUCUUCUCCAACAUCCAAAAGAACCCAUCCGAAUCUCGUGAUUAAUAAGCAUAUAAUCACAAAUUUCACACACUCUUCGAUGCAAAGAGUAAUAAUAUAAACCGAUACGUAAAAUAUGAUAUGAAACGUAUAAAAGGCAAAAGAAUAGGUACCGAUUCCCCAUGUCUACCAAUAAAUGAAAUUCCGAGAGACACAUGGACAUGGAUACUUUUAUUCAGAUAGAAUACGUAUAUGUACUAUUUGCACACAUCCACGCAUAGAAAGAAAUAGAGAAAUAAGAUACGAACCUUGAGAGGAUGAAGACCUGCUUUGAGAUCGAGUGCGAUGCGUUCACGGUCUUCGAUUUCUCUGUCGGAGGCACCCGGCAGAGGCUGAAUAUUAGUGGUAUUGUUGCCGGAGUUGUUUGUCUCCUGCUCUUUCUUGUCUGCUACCAGUUCCAUUAAGCUUUGCUCUCAGCUCACAAGCCCUAGAUUUUGCAGUAUCCACAGUCUACACCUUCUCCGUAUGUUGAAUUGAAUAAUUGAAUGACGGUGGGGGAUCAAUCCGGCUUGUUGGGCUCCUCAGUGGGCCAUUUGCGGUAUGUUUGAGCCCAUUUUCCCGUGGAAUACAUUUUUGGGGGAAAACGGUGUUUACCUAUUAAUUUAUAAACAUUUUAUAAUAUACACUACAUAAAUAUUUAUACAUCAUAUAUACUUAAUACUACAUAAAACAUCCACCAGAAAUACUGCUUCCUAAAAAUCUCUCUAUUAGACAUUUUGUAAUUGAAAAUUAAAUGAGCAAAUAGUUCGCUUCAUGAAGCCCCUAUUUAACCACCAUUAUUUUCACUCUCUUUUUAUAUAAUCAUUUUCAACCGUAGAUUCACAAAAUAAAAUAUUUUAUAUAUAGGUUCAAAACUUUUUCAUUUUUUUUAACCACACAUUCUUCUAAAAAUCACUAUUGAAAACUCUGUUUUUCCCGAACAAUGAUUGGCAAACGAGGACUAAUUAUCAAUGCGAAAAGGCUUUUGCAAAUUG